rnacentral:lncRNA from 1 species
AUUGUGAUUACAUCAAUCGAGGUGGAGGAACAACAUAUCUGAAGCAACAUUUAGGUAGCGAGUGUCCCGACAUUGCAAAAUGCACCAAGGUUCCAUUAGAGGUCAGAAGAGAUUUCCAACAAACCUUGCAAUAGGCAAAGGUUGAUGCAACCUAGAAGUAGGUAGAACAACAAGAACAAUAUAAGUGGGCUACAAGAACAGAUCUAUGAUCAACAUAAGGGUCAUGACAAUGAUGUCAACCCAGACCUUGCAACUGGCAUUCGUGCUUCAUUAGAGUACCAUGAGACAUCGACCGAGUGACUCACAUUGGAAGCAACAUCGAUCAGCUGACUCACAAUGAGAGCAUAGUAGUGGUAGUGGCAUUGGACCAUAGGGACUCGACUGCCCCUUUCUCAUCAAUUAGGCAGGAUUGGUAGCAUGACGCAGGGUGGCCUGUGAGGUUUCAUAAGAGGUAUUGGCAAGAGGUGAGCACCUGAAGUUGUCGACAUUGAGUCGUAGACCUAUCCACCACAAUCAGCAAAACAUCUACGGAUUGACAAUGUAUAAAAAAAGAAAAAGAAGUGAGAUAUUAGCAAAACCAUUACCAAGUAGUUCAACUUUAUACGAUUUCAGCACAUACAACGCAAGGUCCAUAUUAUCAUAAUAUAGUAUCAUCAAUUCAGAAGGCUAGCAUGGGCAUCCAUCCUCUUACGCCAAAGAAAAUACAUGUCGUUUGCUAGAUGAGGACAUGACAAAACUCAAAGAGAGGAUAUGGUAUCUUUUUUCUAAUCAAAUGGUGGCUAUAAUUUAAAGCAAAGUUAUCAGAACCGAAUCAAAUAUCAACCUGAUCAAGGCUUAGAUCACUAGAUCAUUGGUUGAAUCGAUGGAUCAAUAGGCCAAAUCGCAUACUUAAUAUUUAAAAAAAUAAAAAUAAAUAUAUAUGUAUGUUAAAAAUAUAAAAUAUAUGAAUAAUAUUAUAAAAUAAAUCUAUAAUACAAAAAAAUAAGCAUAUUGAGAGGAUAAAAUAAUGAUAAAUAUAAUGGAAUCCUCUUUUAUUUUGUUAUUAUCAAUAAAAAGACUUAAAUACCUUUAUUUGAUGGUGAAUAAAAAUUCAGAACAUCAUCAUUUUAGAAUAUGUAUUCUUAUUUUUAUAAUUAUAUGCCCUUAAAUGCACUAGUACAAGUUCGAACUUGUAACCUUUCAAAAACACCACACCUAUGCAAGAGUUACACAUCUUAAUAUUUUUUUAAAGUAUCUCAAUGCGAGACAAGGAUAAAUCCUGUAAGUAACUAAACAAUCCUCUCAAGGACCUCAAAAGGCCUAAUAAAUCUUGGACUUAACUUUCCUUUCUUUCCAAAUCUUACAACGCCUUUGGAAGAGGAGACCUUCAAGAACACAAAAUCCCCAACUUGAAUACAAAUUCCCAAAUCUUACAAUGCCACCAUCGUUGCGUCAUAUCCAUGAUACAUUUCAUGUUUCAAUGCUCAGAAACUAUAUACCUGAUCUCUCUCAUAUCAUUAAGUAUGAGCCGAUUGUGAUCGAUAAAAACUUGUCUUAUGUGGAAGAACACACUCAAAUUAUUGAUAAGAAGGAAAACAUUCUAAAGAAUCGGGUCAUCCAUCUAGUUAAAAUAAUCUGGAGGCAUCGUUUUAGGGAGGAAACAACCUGUGAGCCAGAGGAGGAAAUGAAGAAAGCUUAUCCUCAUCUUUUCAUCGAUAGAGGUAUGAUAAAUUUAGAUGACUAAAUUUUUCUUUUAAGAGGGGAUAGUGUAACAUCCCUUAUUUCUAAAUUUUCGCAUAAGGAUGUAAUUAUAAUGUUAGUACCCAUUUUGAAUUCUACAGAAGAGCCUAAAUAUAAAUCUAAGAACCUAUUUAUAAAAUCUAAAGACCUAUUUGUAAAAAUCUGAGGACCUAUUUGUAGACUCUGAGGACCUAAUCAUAAAUAUAAAUAAUACAAGGACUAAACUUCGAAAAAAAAAAAAUCCACUGCCUAAGCCUCUCUGCCUUCGUUCAUAAGGAACCUGAGAAGGCAGCCUAUAUUGGAGAAGAGAGGAAGAUAAAAAGAAGAAAAAAAAAAAGAGAAAAUUUGGGGCUUAGGGUCUUUUUGCUCAAAUCUUCUUAUUUGGGAUCAAAAAUUCUUAAAGGUAAGUGUUCUAACCCCAUCCUACAGUAAUCUUGAUCCUUGAUUUUAUCUCAAUUCUGUAAAAUUCGAAAGAUAUUAGCUUUACACAUAAUUUCUCUCUUGUUUAGGAAUAAAACUAUGAAUCUGGAAUUUUUUAAAAUUUUGACCUAACUGCUUUAUCCUAGCCAUAACUUUCUGCACCGAACUCUGAUUUGGGAAAAACUAAAUUCAUCCAAAAAUAAACUCAUAGAUCUUUCUGUUGAUACCAAGAUUGGCAAAUUUGGAGUCUAAAUGCCUAUCCAAACUUUUAUUUCAAUUGACCCUAUAAAAUCUGUAAAACAGAGACUGUAUGUUCCGACCUUUCGGUAUUCUUUUACUUAUAACUCUCUGUUAAAGAAUCCAAUUAUGGUAAAACCUGUUUCAUAAGAAAUUAGACUUAUAGAUCUUCCUUUUCAUACCUGAUAUGAAAGAUUUGAAAUACAAAUGCCUAUUGAAACAUCUGUUUUAAUCAACUUUGUAAAUUGUACAAAACAUAUAUGAUGUUCUCUGACCUUUGGUUACUAAAUUGUUUAUAACUCCUUGCUGGAAACUCUAAUUCAUACUAAACAUAAUUUAUCUAAAACUAGUUUGAUAUAUCUUUUAAAUGACACAUAUUUUGAGCAAAUUGGAGCAUAAUUGGUUAUUCAAAUAAUUCAUAAAAUGUGUCUUUCAAAUUCUACAAGAAUUAAGUUUUUAUCAAUUUUACCUAUUCUUGUUUUUGGAAAUUGAUUUUAACUAAAAUCAUUUCUUCAAUUGAGCUUUAUAUUAUUGCUUUGAAUUCUUGUAUGCUCAUUCUUAAAUUAUUUGCACACCUGAAUCUAUUAUAUAAAGUAUACGUUUGCAUCGUAUUAUUUCGUAUAGGCACAUGUAUGUUUCGUUGUUUCGCAUGUGCUUACGAUAUGUGCUAAUCUUAUUGUUCAUAAUGUCCUUUUGUAAUAUAAUGUUUGUGGGAUACCGUGAACCUUUGCCAGAAAUGGUAAAGGGAGUUAUGCUUAGAGCCUUCGAUGCUCUGCCAGCCCCCUAUGACUUCACUCAGAUGUGGGUGGAUGGAGCUCCCAAACGUAUGAGACUUAUGUUUAGUGGUUAUCCAGAAAUGGAUGGAUCAUAUUAUGUGUAAUCCCACUUCACCCUCUAUGUUUUUGGUAUAAUAUCCAAACAUUGCUUAUGUGUUUUUAUAUAUGCUUUGGAUAAGAAUGAAAUACAUGCAACAUCAAAUAUAACAUACAAGCUUAUGUUUGUUAUUUGUUCACUUGAUAUGCUCCGAAAUGUUUUGUAUAUGCUUAUAAACAUUCUUACACCUUUGAUAUGCGUUCAAAUGCUUAUUAUGUCAUUUCAUACGUGCCUAAAUGCUUUUUAUAACAAUGAUAUGCUCCAAUUAAUCUCUACUCUAUUGUUAUGAACAAAACAUGUUUCAAAUGAAAAGACAUUGUAAUUCUGCAUUCGAUGAGUGGCUAUCUAUGAACUCUUGUAUCCCUGCCUUGCAUUUUGAUACCCUGUUUGUUUAAAAUUGUCCUCUUUUGUCUUGGAUAUGUUAGUCGCUUGCUGAGCUUCGUAUCUCACUCCGUUGCUAUAUAAAUUUUUUAUGUUAGCUUAUCACACAGAGAUGUUUGAAUUAUGUUGAAUUAGUGAAAAGCUAGAAGAUUUUGGGCAAAUCUUUAUUGGUUGAUAUGUUUUUGUUGUAUAAGUGUAUAAGUACACUUUGCAUCUAAUGAAAUGUUGAUGGUAAAUCUGAACUAAUGUGCUUUGUAAAAGUUUAAAGGACUUCUCAUAUUUAGGAUUCUGGAAUGUUAAGUAUAAUUUGAAUAAUGAUAUGAACUUGUAGUAAACAUUAGUUAUGUGAUUAUAUAGAUUCACACACUUGUGGAUCUAUGAUGUGGUUAUUGUUUUGUUGAGUUGGUUUCGGAUUUUAUGAAUCAUCGAGUGAUGUGGUGUAUGAUUGUAAAAUGCACAAGUUUUAUGGAUACGAUUGAUGUUUGACUAUUUUUCCGUGUCCUCAAAUAUUAGUUUGGAUCCUAGAUUGGAUUGGAUUGUUAAUGAAAUUUAAUAUUAUCGAUUUAAGAUUAGUUUACGUCUCCUGAAUUCGGGGGGGAGCGUGACAGAGGUGGUAUCAGAGCAUAUCAAUGGCAAAUGAAACAUUUCAGAACAUAUCAAUGGCGUAUGAAAUGUUUCGGAGAAUAUCAAUGACAUAUAAAACAUUUCAAAGCAUAUCAAUGGCGUAUGAAAUGUUUCGAAACAUAUCAAUGGCAUAUGAAACAUUUCGAAGCAUAUUAAUGGCGUAUGAAAUGUUUCGAAGCAUAUCAAUGGCAUAUGAAACAUUUCGAAGCAUAUCAAUGGCAUAUGAAAUGUUUCAAAGCAUAUCAACGACAUAUAAAACAUUUCAGAGCAUAUCAAUGGCGUAUGAAAUGUUUUAGAGCAUAUUAAUAGCAUAUGAAACAUUUCAGAGCAUAUCAAUGGCGUAUGAAAUGUUUCGACGCAUAUCAAUGGCAUAUGAAAUAUUUCAUAUUUUGGGCAAGUCUUGUUGGUUGAUAUAAUGUGGUUGUUGUAUAAGUAUAUUUUGUAUAUAAUGAAAUAUUGUCGAUGAAUCUGAAUUUAUGUAUCAUGUAAAAGUUUUAAAAGACCUCUCACGUUUAGAAUUUUGGAAUGUUAAAUUUAGUUUACGAUGAUAUGAACUUGCGAUAAAUGGUUGGAGUUCUGAUUGUACAAAUUCUUACACUUGUGGAUUUAUAAGUGUGAUUAAUGUUUUGUUAAUUGGCUUGGGUUUUCAUAAAAGUUUUAGUGAUGUGGUAUAUGAUUAUAAACUGCACAGAUUUUAUGGAUGUAAAUGAUACUUGAAUGUUUCUCAAUGUCCUCAAAUGUUAGUUUGGAUCCUAGGUUGGAUUGUUAAUGAAAUUUUAAUAUUAUUGAUUUACGACAGGGUCACACCUCCUGAAUGUGAUAAUUCGGGGGGCAAAAACUUAUUUAAAGCAUUACUAUGGGUACUUUGGUCUUUUAAAAUUAAAAAUGAUCUUAUUAGUGAACUGAACUGGUUAAAGGUUUGGUGCAUGGUUUUCCUUAUCUAACCAAUCAAUUCAUUCCAAUAUGAUUUGCAAGAUCCUGCCUAAUCUAAAAAAGGUUGUGGUGCAUGUAGCUUCACAAACGAUGACAUCGAGUGGAAGUGAACAUAAUUGGUCAACAUUUGCUUUGAUUCACACUAAAGUCCGCAACUAGUUGUCAUAUAAAUGGUUGGAGAAGCUUGUAUAUGUGCACUACAACAUGUGUCUAAGACUACAAUUUACUGAGCCCGAUAAGGAACCGAAGGAGCCAAAAUCUUGGUCCCUUUGACCUCUUGAGACAAACCUUCCGAUAGGAUAUUAGUUGACCCAUUCUGGCGUACCAACGGUACAUACCAGUACGUACCAUACCAAGCAUAGCUCAAUACGCCGAUGCAAAUCGGUAUUCAAAACCCUGGUUUAAUGUAUAUAUGAACAUCAAUGCCUGAUUUUUAAGUAUAUUUUGUAGUGAAAAGGUUUGGUCCUCCAGUACAAUAAGCCUAAAUGUGCUAGUAGACUUAAGUAUAAGGCUAAGCCAUGGCAAUAAACAUGUAUAUAGUGAUUAGACGAGACUUUCACAUUGUAAUAGGCCUUAAGUGAUUCUCAAGACCUGAAUGAAUUUGAUUAUGUUUAAAGUUAAUGAGUUUGAAGUUUAAACAUCAUAUAUGUAGAGGAUAACAAAUUGAUUUAUUUAUAGUUAGAGUAAUGGAUAAAUAAGUGGAGAUGAAAAAUCAAAAAGGAAUACUACACUAAAAAUGUUAAGAAACAUAAGUAAGAUUCAAAGAUCAAAUUAGACAGAAACUCUUUAUUUUUGUCAAUCCAAAUUAGGCUUAUAUUAAGUUAUAUCAACCCUAAGAUUCUAUUAAGAAAAAAAGAAAAUAAAAAUUGAGAUGAGGCCUAAUGGGAUUGAACCUAAGACCUCUCGGCGGCCCCUUAAGCAGCUCAAAAACCACCACCUCUCUAUUUCCUAGAUAUGACCUAGGGUUUUAGUUAGUAGCUUUAGACUGAUAUUUUUGGUUACUUUUGAGUAUCCUAGAAUUCAAUUUAAUCUCUAAUUUUUGGAUAUGUUUUGUAUGAAUCUGUUAUGAUUCUAAGGCUUCUAAGAUUGCUUUAAUAUAAGAUCAAUACAUAGAGUUAUGUGUUUUCCAAGCCGAAGAACUCAAUAUCCCCUGUUUUCAUGAAAGGGUUUUGUUCAAGCUGAUUUGACACCCACAGUGAUACAAUUAGCCCCUGUUUUAAUCAUGUCUUAAAAGGAUCUCUUAAGGUUCUGUAGGCUUUGAAAGUAAGUGAAUAUCAUCUUUUUACGCCAAGAUAAAAAUUUUAUAAGUUUAGUAGCCUCAAUCCAGUUUCAACAAAACAAAAUAGGUGAUGAUGGUUGAAUUGGGAGGGUAGUUUAACCUCCAAACGAUUUUGUUUUGAGCUAAAAUUUUGUGUAUAUUUAGUUUUAUGUCUCCUGAGUUCCUGUAAAAUUUUAUGAUACUCUAAGAUGGUUUAAUCAGUAUAGUAGUGAAGCAAGAAUUCUUCAUAGAAUUGUGUAGUUCUUUAAUUGGUAGCAACUAGGUCGUUUGAUUAUAAGUUGAAUUAUUGGCAAAUUGAUAGUAGAUUUUAGGUGAAUUUACAGCUUUGGUAUAGCCCAAUUCAAAAUAAAUUCUACCAAAUUUUACUACAAAUUACUAUUUAUAUUAAGAGUUAUAAACAAGGAUUUGAAUACCGUACCGUUUGGUACGGGCGAUACAUAACGAUCCAUAAGCAGACUGGCACGCAAACCACCCACUAUCGAGCGAUAGGUAUUUGGCCCCGUAUCGAGUGUACCAGGCAGUACCGAUCGAAAUUUCAACAAUUACCGACCAAUACCGAUCGAUUUUGAUCGUUAUCGAUUUAUAUCGAUUUUCAAACGAUCAAUUUGAACAUUGAAAGCAUUCUAAAGGGUUUUUAAAUUCUUUCCUUCCCUCUCUUUCAAUCUAUUUCAUUCUCACACUCUCUUAAACCCUCUUAAACUCAUUUUUACUCACAAUCUCUCUCUUAUUCUCACAUUUUCACGCUCCUAAACUCAACUGAGCAACAAUUUAUGGAUUAGAUCAAAUUUAGGAGACUAAUUUGGGAGGAUUAAGAGGAAGAACUUUUUAAUCAAAAGGUAUGAUACGUAGUAGAUCAGUAAUGAAAGUAAAAGUCCUGACAUUCAUCAAUACAUGUAUCAGGCGCCGCCACGGACAUAUGUGAUUCACGAUGAUCAACCUAUAACCAUCACCACAUUGAUUCACAAAUGGCAUACGGUGUCUCAAUAUCGUGAGAUCAAUUUCAGGAUUUGGUCCAACAAAUAUAUCAUAUUGAUAUAAAGAUAUAUAGGAUCGAGGACCCCGAUUCACCACCCGUGGAGGCCCGUCGUUCGUUUUAGUAGUAGAAUUAGAUAUAUUUGCACAUGUGAUUAUUUAAUUCAUUUGAAUAUUAAAGUUUAAGUUGUAUACAAAACAAUCUAACAAUUCAAAUAAUUUUUCAGUAGAUAAUUCAAUAUUAAUGGAAGGACGAUCUGGAUUGGACCGAAAUUGUGAACCUUGCAUAAGGCCACUCCUUAAAGAUAGAAAAAGAUAUGUGGCACUAUUCUUACUUAUUUUAUAUUAGUUAUGCUAAAACUAUAGUAAGUAUAAGCUUAAUUUAUUAUAAAAUAGUGGUCAUAUAUUUUAGAAAUUAUCUUUUAAAUAAGAUGAAUGUCAUGAGUUAACUAUAAACAUGAUGUUAAUGUAUAAAUUGCAUAAUAAGAUAUAUGAAUUACAAUACAAACGUAUUGCAUGCAUGUAUAGGUGAUGACAUUCAAUGUGGAAGUUGACUCGUAAUUUGAGCACAAUCUUAUUCAAUAGGGUGAUUCCUGACCCAAAUCCAGAAAUGAAUGAGUCAAUUAUUAUCUUGAUGCAACAAAAUUGGAACCAAGAGCGCUAUUUAUUGUGAUUUAAUACUUAGUGAGCCAGAGUUUUGAAUACUGAUCCAUAUUGACAUACCAAGCUCUGCUCGGUACGGUACAUACCGAUAUGUACCGUCGGUAUGCUAGGGUGUAUCGUCGGUAUGGUAGAACAUAUCGACGAUACACCCUAAAACCUUAAAAAUACCUCCACCUAACAUGCCAGGGCGUACCGACCGAAACGCCUUGGUAAAGAUUGAAAUCCGAGGAGGUAUUGAUCGCUAUGCCUCAAUACCGAUCAAAGCAUUGGUACCGCUCGGUAGGGGACGGUCCGCAUACUGACAUCCUCUCAAACCAGUACGUACCGCUCAUACCAAGCGGUACACAUCGAAAUUGAGAACCCUGUAGUGUGCUACUUAUUACGCUACUCAUUGCUACUUAGUGCGCUACUUAAUGCGUUUAUAUCCAAGUUCGUCCAUCAUGCAUCGCGUCUUUUGCCCUCCCAUCUACUGCCCUCAAAACCCUAUCUUUUCGUCUUCCAGCAAGAUCAUUUCUGCCCUCCCAUCCGUUGUGCCUUCUACCCUCCCAUCCACCAUCGAGCAUUGAUUGAUUCUCUGCCGCUGAGCACUAAUCGAUUUCGUUAUAUUCACCUUCAGGUCAAUGCCCUCUGUCUCACCUAGACCCCUUUCUCUUCCAAUCUCUUGUCCUUUCUCUUCCGAUCUCUUGUGCUAUGCCACUUUCACUCGGGCGCUCGACCGAGGCGCUCAGCGCCUGGGCUCAAACGAGCGCCCAAGGGGCACUUUAGUGAAUCGCAUCACCUGGAGGUCAUGCGAGGCGCUCGGGCCUUGCCUCACCCAAGCGCCCAGGCAUCUAUUAAAAACACUAGUUAUAGCAUAUGUACAACUAUCAAACACCAUUGUGUAUAAGAGAGACCAUGUUAUUUUGUUUGGCAAAUUAACAUGUUUCAAAUUGGCCCAUAAUCCUACUAUAUUAUUGCUGAUAGCAUAAGUAAAUUUCAUGAUGACAUCCUAUUCUAAUCAUGCAUAUAUACUAUGAAUGGAAUUAGGAGUAGGGUGUCACAUGACUAAACUUUUUACCACCAUUGUGGGUUUAGCUAUAGAUAGGCUCUCCAUGUGAGACUAUGUAAUGAGCUAAACAGAAUUUAACAUGACAGUCAAAUUGAUGUCAGAAGUCAUCCUUUAACUGGUGCUCAUGUCUUAGUAGAUGCAAAGUUGAGAAAGAGAGUGACUUCGGCAAAUAAUUACCAAAAGUUGGACAGAGUACAAGAGGAGAAUGACAAGUAGUUUAUUCAGAGCAUAGUUAAGUCAUAGUUGAUAAAAUUACAAGUCAGAGCAAAGUUUUAAGCAGAGGAUCAACCACACUGAUUCCCUCAACUUGGGAAAACUACAAAUGGAUGCAGCUGCAGAAUAUCUAAUUCAAUAUACAGAACUUUGAAAAUCUAAAAAUCAUAAGCAAGCUGGAAUUGAAUGAAAUAAUACCAUAUAUGGGAAAAACAUGAUCAAGUGAUGAAAUGAAUGCAAACAAAUUAAACGUUAUGUAAAUAAAUUGAAAUACAUUGGAUGUUGGUUAUCUAAGAUAUUAAAUUUCAUUUGAACAAACACAAUGCCUGCUGACAACAAAAACAAUUGGCAAGAAAAUAUAAUAUAAUAUAACAUUACGAUGUAUAAACCUGUUUUGGUCAUCAAUGAUGCUAGACCAACCGUCUUCAAGCUAAUGGUUUUACCCCCUGUAUUUGGACCAGUUAUAACCAGCACAUUAGUAUUUUCUGUAAUCAUCAAGUCAACAGGUACAGGAUAGUUCUUUUCCAAUUCAGAAACCUAAUAUCAAAAAAAAAUUCAUAAAAUAUGUCAAGAAUCAUGUAAGUUCUCAAACAAAAUUGGACAAAAUUUGAUGUUAUUAGAUCUUAUAUCUUAAAAUUUACUCUGAGUUUCAUGGAUGCAAGACGUGCAUCUCCAUCAUUUCCUUCAAUAUGCUUCCCCAGUAAAUUCCUUCUAAUUUCCUACAUAUUAAAAAAAUAUUGAACUAUAAUCAGUUAUGAAAAACAUUCAAGUGGAUUGAAUCAAGAAUAACUAACAAGGAAUGUUAUAAACAUAGCUGGAUGUUGACGUAUUGGAUGUUGCAAAAAAGACCAGGUCAACACCAGGUAUGAUUCCAGGAUUCUCUAGAUAUUAAGGAGCCAAUUGCAAUUAAAUAACCAAAGGUGAUAUUUUGGAAUUGAACUCACAGCAGUAGCAUCAACAACAUCUUUUUUGGCGUUGUGUAAGUCCUCAAGAUGCCGCUUAAGUAACAGAGGAUGAUAAGACUUGGGCAUAUACAGUUUCCAAUUCCUUCUAGAGGGAUGAGAUGAGGCACUGCUAGUGGUUGCGCCUUGAGACAAACUGUCAGAAGGUUCUCCACCUAUAUGAUUUGGCAUAUAUAUAUCGGGAAAGGUUCCAUCAUAUGCUAAACUGUACUUUGCUCUGGCAGUGAUCUAUUCCAAUCAGAAACUAAGAUUAUUAAUAUUAGGCAUUCAAAAAUGGAUAAUUUCUUUUUUUGACAAAAACUGGAUAACACCUUUCAAAAAUGCCGAGCAAAGAUUAUGAGAUCACUUGAGAUUGUCAUGUAUGUGUAUUAUUACUUAAUGACAACUAAGGAAAGAAUAAAGUGAAUUAUCAUUGUUUAUGCCUGAUGCCCAUAAGAAAUGACAAUGAUAGAAUGAUAAAGAAAUGAGGUAUGAUCGUAAGAAACACAGAUAUAGACACGAGAAAUGACACAUCACGUACACAACAAUACGUCAUUGUUUAAAAAAUUAGGACACAGACACGGCAAGGACAUGUGUGUGUGUGUGUAUAUAUAUAUAUAUAUAUAUAUAUAUAUAUAUAUAUAUAUAUAAAGAAAAAUAAUCUUGAUAUUUUAUUCAAAUUAUUAUAACAAUUUAACAAAAAAAGUAAAAAAAACAUAUUUAAAAAAAUAAAAAAGGUUAAUAAUAUAUUAAUGGUUUAAUCAAAAGAAAAAAAACCCAGAUUAAAAAAAUAAAAUAAUUAAAAAUAAUAAAAUGGGUUAAUAAUAUGUUAACAAUUUAAUCAAAACUAAAAAUAAAACAAUAAUAAUCAAAUAUAGGUGUUUUUAGUAGUAAAAAACGCUAAACAAAGUCAGUAUACCUUGUGACACAACACGGCUAAGGAAGAUGCUUUGUCGAACAUUGGUGAGGUUGUCGAACGCCCAAAGGCAUGUGACGACCAGUGGGUCGCUCGCUGGUGGGGUGCUUGGGGCAAAGGGCCCGACAACAGCGAGCGAAAGACAAAGGGAUGCUCCAAGGCGGAGGGCUCGAGAGCACGCGAUGAUCGUCGAGUUGCUUGCAGGUGGGGCGCUCAGGGCGAAGGUUCCGACGUCAUGCGACGAUAGAGGUGCGCUCAAGGUGGAGGGCCCGAGAGCAUGCAACGUGACAAUGGCCGCAAGCCAUUCAUAAGUGGGCUGCUAAGGAAGAGGGUUGAAACCUCCAAUUUGCUCGAGAGUCGAAGUAGAGGUGGUCGACGAGUGCUCAAGUUAGGGACAAAACCUACCUCUUCCACAAGUGAGGUGAGGGCAAAGAUUUCAUUGGUGAGGAAGACGAUUUCCUUCGCACACAAGAACGGAGUCCAAGACACGAACACCAUAUCCAAUGAAAUAAAAAAUUAAAAGGAUACAUGUCCUGCCGUGUCGAUGACGAAUCCGUGUCCGACACAUGUUAAACACCAGUACGCCGCUCAAACCACGAUGUCCUCCCAAGUGUAAACUGUAGCCGUAUUUGUCAUCAACACAUACAUGCUCUUUUCAAUCAUUGUCAUUAAUGAGAACUAGGGACUUUUCUUUCGGCAGUGCCAAUCAUUUACUGCACUAAAAUACUGGAAAAUGACACAGACGAUAUGUAAUAAUACAUCUAUAAUGGAACAUAAGAACUUCAGUACUGUAAUAUAAGCAACAGUAAAUGAAGAAAAAAAUCCUAAAGAGAUCUAUGUGCUAUAUAAAUCACCAAAAAGGACUUCCCUUGAUAAUCAAACAAGAACUAUGGACAAAAAACAUGCCAAUAAAUAAAGUAAGACAUCUUUAAGAUGCAUCUAUAUCAAGGUUUGCAAUAUCAUCCAGUACGGUAUGGGCGAUAUUUAUCAGUCCGACAGUAUACCGAUACAUGGACAUGGACUAGGGCAAACCAGAUGGCAUGCUUACCACAGGUCUCUCUGACACAGGAUCUAUGUUGCUCAAUAAGACAUAUUUAAGAUGCACCUAUAUCAAGGUUUGCAAUAUCAAUAGGUAUAGCAUGGGCAAUAUUUGUCGAACAGUGUACCCAUAUCAGCACAUGGUACAGGGUCUGUACUGUCCGAUACAAGACCUAUACUUCUUGGUACAGUGUGGUAGCAGUUCUUAUUUAUUUCUUCAGCCUUGUCUGAUGAUUUUUCCGAAACUUGAUAUAUACCAGCAUAUCUGCACAUGGUACACCUGAUCCGAGCAUACAUAAAAUUGACAACAUUGAUCUAUAGUGAUGUUAUCAGCGAGAAUAUUACCCUUGAAACUAUGAAACAAAAAAUUUGUAUUGCCAUGUUUUAUUACCAAAAUUUAGCAGGUUGCAAAAUUGUCAAUCAAUGAUGCAAAGAAGUGCAUGUCAUAUCUUAUGCAUUUAAAUUUUAAAUAUGCAAACGCAUUGUAGUAGUACUAGGAUCAAGAAUAUAAGACUUGCUACAUUUUUACUAGAAUUCAACAGGAGAGAUGGAGAAAAGUUUCAUGAAACCUACAACAUCCAGCCUUAUUAUUAUUUGCAGCAAAUUCUGGAUGUCAUCAAUUUCUGCUAGCAUCUGCAGAAAGCAAGAGAAGCACCAAUCAAUUUAAGUAACUUGAAAAAAUAGAACCAUUCAGUCAGCUGCUUCAAACCUUAUCAGCUAAUUUUGAUAGCACCUCUUCCUCAGCCUUAAUCACUAAAGCUCUAGCUCGUUGCAACUCAUCAUUCAGUGGCACAGCAGCAAUUGGCUCUAGUAUACUUCCAGCCCUUGAACCACUAAAGUGCAUAAUAUACAACAAAGAAGAAACCAGAAACAUACACAAACAAAAAUAUCAUGUUACUUGCACAGACAAAUAAGCAAAUUAUUAUAAAAUAAAGAAAAUUAUAAACUAUAACUACAAAAAAAAUUCAUAAAAAAUAUGAUACUAAUUUGAGAUCAGUGUUCAAUGAAAAAAUUGAAAGCUGAAAAAAAGGAUUUAUUAUCCAGAUACACCAUGCACGUUGCCAACCCCUAAAGAAGUGGUCCUCAGUACCAAACUAGGUAGUUGUUUCAAUGGUCAAACCAGCUUGGUUUCAUAGUUCUUGAAGCAUUUCACUUCAUACUGGGCUCAAUCAUACCUAUCAGCAUAAAAAUCAUUUAGAGCUGAUGCAGAACAUAACCUAAUUAAAACUAUUAUAUCCAAUAUUGUGGUCCCAACUAGGGCUUUGAAGUUAUUGCACAUUAUGCCACCACCUUGAGUUUCCAAUGACAAAUCUCAUUGAAGCAGAAGGCAAGUCGAAGAAGGUGAGGGGUUCAAUUUUGACGGGCACCCGUCGGUAACUGUCCAAUUUCCACCGGCUCCAUCUGCCAUCGGUCAAGUUUGACCCAAAUUUAAUCAUUGGUCCACUUUUAGGGGUUAACCCCCUUUUGGUUGCUUCCUCUCCCCCUCUCUCACUCAGUCACUCUCAUUUCUCUCUUUAUCAGUUUCAAUCUCACUUCUUAGACUCUUUUGAUUUCAAAUUGCGAUUAGUGGAGGUUGAUUUAGAUCAAAGAUGCUUGGCAUCCAACAUUGGGUAGAAGUUGUGUUCAAAAGGAAAUUAUUCACCUAAUGUAUACAUGUUUUUUCAUGAUUUCAUGUAAUUAGCCUAAUGAUUAUAGGUAAAUCAUUUACGGAUUAAUUACUAGUUAAGUCAUAAUCAGAGGUAUUUUAGCAUAAAGAGUUUAGAUUGACCAUGUUUCGACUUCUUGCAUGAUUUAAGAGGUGAGGGGACACUUCAAUCCAUGGAAACAACCUUAUUCAACAGAGGACUGUGCCAUAGAAUUCUCCACCGGUGAAUCCGAAAAGAUAAGAAUUUCUAUUAUUGAUCCUUAUAGCUUGGAAUUUCUAUUAAUUUAUAGCUCAUAUAUACUUUAUUUUUUAUUUAAUUUGAAUUUAUAUACCAAUAAAAUAGGAGAAAAACUCAAAAUGAGUUUUUCAAUUUUGGUUGAUCCUUCAGCUAUUUUCUUGAAAUUCAGGUACAGACUGGUGUAUAUGUGCUGGUACACCAAUAUCGACUAGCAUGUAGCGAUUGGUCCGGUCCAACUAUGGACUGGUACACAUGGUUGGUACGAGAUAGCAAUCCUUGCUAUGGAUAGCUAUCAAUCUUUAAUAUUUCUUUAAAAUAUUUGUUUCUUGUUUAUGAACACUACUAGGGUCUUUAAAAUAUUCCUCAUGAUUUUUCCAUCCAUCAAGGCCUUCAUAAAGCAAGGGAUGGAAAUUUGAUCAUCAUUUAGUGUUUAUUAAUGUAUGGUAUAGUCCUUUUUCUCAGAGAAUCCAAUUUAUAACAACAUAUCGAAUGAUAUGUUACUGAGUACAAUUUGUUCGGGCCCACAAUCCAUAUCCCAGUGUUCAAGCUUACCAGAUGCACCUCAGCAUGGAUCAACACAGUGAAAUUAGAAUAGAAUUGGAUGGUUCUGGCUAAUCCGUCACUGCUAGAAAAAAACUGAGAAGAACAACUAAAAUCCUGGAAAAAAAUUAUAUAACCAAAUUAAUUCCAGUGGGUUAACAAUUAAAACAAAAUACUCAUAGAAAAUUCUAGUUAUCUUAACAUGGAUAAAAUGACAUGCGGUUACAAAAGAUGUACACCAAUUUAGAUAAAUUUAAGGUCUAACAUGUAAAAUUCUCAUAAUAUUUCAAACAAGCAUACAACACUUAACAACAUAAAGUAUGUGUACCAUCCACACACCUGGACAAUAGCAGCCCAUCAAAUAUUGUUGAUCUAUCAGUCAUUACCUUGAUGCAGCACCUCCCAUUAACAAUACACAUCUCCUGAAGCCAAUAAAAUAAGUGCCCAUUGCUUCGUCAAAUUAAGUUUCAACAGAUGAGAUGUCAAACUCUAGCCUUACCAAAGUGGAAGUUUCAUUCUUUUCCUGUCCAAGUAACUUGUCCAUAAGCUGGUAUAACUGCAACACAAUUAGAAAUAACAACAUCAGUAGAGCUCACCUACAAACUAAAUUUAUAAAAUUUAGAAAAUGUACCUACAAGGCUACAACAACAUCAUUCACACUUUUAGCAACAUUACCACAUUAGUGACACAGUUACGGGAGCUUGGUUGACGGUAACACUAAAUGAAGCAGCUUGGUAGAUUAGGCACCUCCUCAAACAUAAAAUUAUUACCUCUUAGUCAUUUCUCUAUUUUAUUGAGCUUCACCGAAUAAUGUUUACCAUAAUUUAUUCUGAAGAUUCAAGUAAUUCUCAUUUUGUUACUACCAAGCUACCCACUUAUAUCCACAGGUCAAGCAUAAUGUCACACGUCUUCUUUAUAAAAUUUUUCAUGCUUAGAAAGUGCACAAUCUAUCCCAAACAAUCAGGAUUUCACCCAAGACAAAAUUAUUAUUUUCAGCCACUCGAAAGCCAUUUCGCAUCCCAAACAUGAUAGCUUUUCUGGAAUAACAUCAUGACAACUAGCCACAAGAGUAUCAUUUUCAUUCUUAGAUGUCAAAGUCCAGAAUUAUAACCUGAAAUAAUAUGUGUCUAAUCUUUAUGUUUAAUCUAGAAGCAAAAAAGAGAAUGAAUUCUUAAGAAAGAGUAAGAGGAAAGAUCACUGAGCAAUAUGUCGUAUGCAGACUUAAUAACAGAUGAAAUUAAUAGAUGCUCUUGAAGAAAAGAUUUUAUGUUUGAAGUACAACAAAAUAGAACAGAAUGAAGAGGUGGAAAGAAUAGAUAAACCUAAUAAGGUAGCAUGAAUACUCAUCAAGGGCAUAAUACUGCUGAAAUAAAAAUGAUUAUUAACAAAAGAAAUAGUGACAUUAAGAUUAAUUUGGUGGCAAUCUGCAAAUUCUCACAUUUAACUCUAUGAUGUGGAAAGUCAUUGCAUGCUACAGCCCAGGAACAUUUAACACAUUGACAACAUGUCUCACUGGUACAUAGAGGUUAUAAAGUGCUCAGAAUUCAGAAAGAGUCCAAUUUGGCAGAGAAAAAUCUAAAGAAAAACCACAAAGCAACUAAUAUACGUAUCUGCAGUAUACUGCUGAAGCAUAAAUUUACUGAAAGAAACAGCCAAUUUAAUAAUGUACAGUAAAAUAGAAAACAGAGUAAAUAUGCAAGGGAGCAUGUUGUUCUCCCAUUUGUCAAUUCUGGUAAUACAUUGUUAAUUCUUGUUUAUGUGAUUAAUUAUUUGAACUUUUACCAAUAUUUUUCAAUGUACUGUACACCUUGUGUGACACAACUCAGCCGAAAGAAAGAAGAGGAGGGAAGAAAUGGAAAGGGCAGAAAAUUUGGUAUGUUACUGACCACAAUAUGGCUUGGCAUGGCAGGCAUGCUGCACGCCAACUAAAAAAAAGAAAAGGCCAAAUUGAGAAGCUAGAGUGACAAAUGACCUGUGUUAACUUGGUAUGGCCUUUCAAACCUUACAUGUAUCAGUAAUUGACAAAGCUAUGUUACCAAAAUCAUAGCUUUAACUAGAACAAACUAGGCCAAAAAAUUUUAUGUUUGCAUCUUGUAAUUUAAAACGCUAAAAUUUAGUAGUCAAAACCAAAGAUUGUCAUUUUGUGAGCUAUCCACUGCUUAAGUGGUUUGGUACUUAAUGGUUGGUACCAAUUAUGCAAAGGGUGUAAUAGAUUAUAGGACACCAUCAACAUGAUAUAUAAUCCAUUAAAAAGAGAUUGUACAAAUCAUUUCGUCAAUCUAAAUAGAAGGUAUUGAUUGCCCACAAAAAUGGCAAAGCUAAGAAAACAGAUUCCAAUGAACUAAAUUAAAUCCAUGUAAUAUUUAUGUUGUGUUGCUUAGUCAUCAAACAAACAGCUUAAAAAAAUUUCAGAAGUUCAUUUUGCUUCAGAUAGGACGUGAAAUCGGAAGCAUGAACCCAAGGUUGAAAAUAACAAAAAGACCUCCAAGCACACAAAUAGUAAAAGAAAAAGAAAUCAAAAUCUGAUUCCAAAGAGGGCAAAAGAAAAUGAGCAAGAUCCUAAAAGACCAUUACAAGGAAGAAUAGCUUAAUGUUUCCUGCUCAGAACCAAGCUGCUCACAAGUAGCUCAAGAUUGUCUUAGUUCAUGGCUUGAUUUAGUUUGGGAUGGAUUUUGAUUAUUUUGUAAAACCAAGCCCAAGAGUAAUUCCAAGUUGAGCCUACAGAAAACCUCAGCUUUAGCUUGAAUUAACCUUUGGUAAACUAAAGGUUAUCAUCUAUCAGGCCACCAAAUAUAGACUUGACUUAGGCUCUUGCCUAAGGCUCAUUUAGACUCGACAAAUUGUGCAAUGGGUAAAGGUUGACCAAAACCUGGGGCUCAAUUAAUUUUAAGCCAAACUUCAACAAGGCGAUGCAUGAUCAAGCUCCAAUAAGUUACAGACCUAGUAAGCAUAAAUGUGAUGUUCAGGUAGUAACACAAUUUUUUCAACCAAGAUCGGCAAAGAGUCCACCAAUGAGCUUUUGUAAUCAAAAAGUUGAACUAAUAAUACAAACUUUACCAAGAUGAGAUAAAACGAUGUAAUAAAACAACACAAAAUUAAAUUGAAAUAGAAGUCUAAUGUGCAUGUGCCAAAAACAUAGAUGGGUGAGGUGUCGCCAAGAGAACAUUAGGCAGAAAGCAAAUUCUAAAACAUAAGUGAUAGAAUAAGCAUUAGAUUGGAUAUUUUGUUGCCCCAUCCCGUCCUAUACUCCAGCAGAAGGUAGCGAAAAAUGUUCGAGCCCUAAUCAAAGAAAAGAUAAGAGGGCGGAUUUGAGUUUAUGAUGCUUACGGUUCUAAUCAAGGUCUGCCAUACCGAAUCGUACCGCCCGGUAUGGGCGGUACGUACCGGUCCGACUGCAUCACUGUAGCAGUGCAUUGUAGCAGUACAAUACACUGUAGCACUGCACCAGUACAGUUACUGUUUCAGUGCACUGUUACAGCAACAGUACAGUGCAUCAGUGCACUGUAGCAAUGCACUGUGCCCGGUGCACCUAGGUAUACCGCUCGGUACACCGUACCGUACCGGUACCGAGCCCAGAUCAAAAUACCGGUAUGGUACGGUAUUACGAACCUUGAUUCUAACAAUAGAUUGAAGCGUUUUUUGAAACUUGCAUGCACAUGACAAAAAGAUUCCAUGACAAACUGUAACACUUGGGAACGAGAACUUCGAAGUGAAAUUUGUUGUUAAAUGCAGGACACAUAAGGACAUUGGUUUUGGAAGAUACAUACUCAUUAAAACACAACAAGUAUAGGACAAUCUGAACAGAUCAAAUAAUCAUGAUGUGAAGUUCUUCCUAAAGAAAUAUAGAAUGUUGUACCUUUUGUUCAAGGACCCGAACUUGAUCACGGGACCUUCUAAGCUCCGAACUCUAAAAGAACAACAAUAACAUAAUAUUCAUUAAAAGUUAGCAAAUGCAAAGGCUAUGCAGUUGUUAAUAAUAAAGAAAAUCAAAAUUAGCAACAAGCAAUAGAGCUAUGGUGGCCACAAGAUUGCAGAAAACUAGAUUGUACAUGUAGCAAAUGAUUCAAAAACCGUAAGUAAGGAGGUUAAUAGAAUAAGAGAUUGUCAUAUCUUUUGCAUUGGAUUUAAUUGAAAAUGAGCAGCAAAGCUAAUUAUAAGCAAGGUUACGAAUGGAAAUCCUUAUUCAAAACAACAACAUUUCUUCUCAGCCCCUUUACACCUCAAAAUGCAUUGUUCUUAUCAUUAAUGAUAUGAGAACAGUAGUAGCAACAACAACAACAACAACAACAACAGCUAGCUGUGAUGUUCCAAUUACUUGGGAUCUGUUAUAUGGAUCUUUUGCAUUCUAUUGAGCUCUAUAAAAGUAUAAGUAACUCCAAUAAACCAGAGAGAUGUCCAUCUCCAUGUGUAAUCUAAGCUAGCUUACUAACUUCAGCCCUCUUUGUUAUUUAAAUUCUAACCUAGCAAACUAACUAGAUUGUCUAGGUUAGAAACGUAGAUGAUGGUACUAUUGUAAUCCACACCUCCACCAGAGUAAUUCAGGUCCCAAUUUAUCUAAAUUAAAUUAUUUUCUUUUAUUUGAACACUUAACAGCUUAAUAAUGUUUGGCAAGUGAAAAACUCUACCAAUUUAAUACUUCUAAUCCAGAAGCAAUUGCUACCUCAGAGGCGCAGCCCAGAUUUUCAUUAACAAAAUCCUCAUGUUACACCUUCACUUGUGCCAUCUUAUGUUGAAUUAUAGUUUAUGUUAGGGGAGACGAAUAAGCUUGAGCCUAUUUUUUCUACCACUCAGUUCAACCUCGGAUCAAUAGAACAUCCAAUAUAUGUAAAAAAACAUAUGGGAAAAGUGAGAACUAACAGAUUCUACUACGAAUUAAAGAUUUCAAAAGAAGAUAAUGGAAAAAAAAAGAAAAAAAAACCCAUUUGUCUCAAAAUUGGAACAAAAGUGUGAGAUAUUAUAGUGUAGAGACUGCUACCUUACAUGAAUGGAUUUGUCUUUUGAGUAGUUAGCCUACUACUUAGUUCAUGACUGAGAUAUCUAUUAUCAGUUGCCUAUGCCCCAAUAAGAUACAUGCAACUACCUUCUCCUCAUUCACCAUGUCUAAGUACCGCUCCUCUAACUUAAGUGGCCAUCUUCAGCUCUACCAUUGAAUCCUCAAAUGCAACAUUAGGUGAACAGGCAGAAAAGAGAUGGAGAUAAAGAGAUAAGAAUAGAAUCAAAAGCAAAAUGGAAAUUUUUUCAAUACUGUGGAACGGGUUCAAUUAAAGCUAAAAUGCUAAGAAAAGAGAUACAACAACAUCAAAGACUUAAGUACAAACUAAUUGAGGCAGCUACAUGGAUCAUUAAAAAGUCAAAUAUUUAGUUAAAUUAAGACUAUUUAAAUUUUAUUUAUAGUUACUAUUAAGAACCUUUUAGGUCUUCCCCUGUUUUCCUCACUAUAAUUCUCCUCAUACCACUAACAGUAAUCAUUUCAUGUGGGUCUAUUAAGCACAUAUCCAUAGCAUGUUAAAUAAUUCUCUCUCAUUUUAUAUUUAAUCAAAGUGAUACUUAAUUGUAUUUAUUUUUUUAUUUUUCCUAGUAACUCCAAAUCCAUCUCAAAAUUCUCGUCUUAAUAUUCUCAUUUUAGUAACACAAAUUUUUUGUAUAUGUUGUUUCUUCACUAUCUAGCACUCACAUCCAUAAAGCAUUACUGGUUUGACAAUUGUCAUAAUUUUUUUCUUUUAAUUUCAAAAAUAUCUUACGAUUAGACAAGACUCCCGACACGCCCUCCUCGUUUUAACUAUCAUGUUUUUACUUUAUAAAUAAUAUCUUUAUUAAUCACUCUGUCUUGUUGAAUAAUUGAUCCAAGUAUUGAAGCUUUUGAACCUUUUACCCAUCAAACUUAAAUAUAACCUCCAUUUAUUACUAAGAUUGCAUCUCAUAAACUUUGAAUUGAUUGAUCUAUUUCUAGUAUUACUAAUAUUGCAUGUUAUAUAUUUAGUUUUAAUAAUCUAAAAUCUUUAGUUUAUAAGGAUUAUCUCCACAAACUCAAGUUUAUAAUUAAUUUCAUUUAGACUCACAUCAACUAAGACAAUAUCAUCAACAAAUAAUAUACACUAGGGAGGGUCAAUUCUAUAAAUGACUAUUAAAUUCAUCCAUUAUCAAUAUGAAAAGACAAGGAUUUAAUGCUAGGAAAAGAGAUACAAUAGUAAAGAGAAAGACAAAGAUGAUGAAAGAAGAAACACAAGUUUGUAAUUUCUUGAGAAUUGAAUUAAUUAUGGUAUUGCUCGAGUUGAAUUGACAUAUUGGAGCAAGAAUGUUCACCAACAAUUGUAGAGAAUAAAAAAAACACAAACAAGGGGUUGAAGGAGUACUCAAGUAAUAAGAUUUAAUAUUGAAUACCCAAUCCAAUCUUCUAUUCAACAACCAAAUGAUUCAACUGGUAAAGUAUUUGUCCACAUUUUACACUCACCAUAACCCUAUUUGCACAACAUGUCAGAGGCUCGAUCCCAAGUUUUUGUACCACAGUCCAACUUGUGAAUGUCUUAAUGAGGUGAAAAAUAACUUAAAGAACUUAAACUUGAAUUUUUCUUAUGCAUCCUUUUCAAUUUGAUUCCAGCCAUGUGCAACUACAUCAGGUUUAAGAGAAUCAGGCAAGUAAUUAAAAUUAUAAACAUGCUUCAUGACCUAUUAGUUAUUUUAAUAUAAAAUGUGAUAAUACAUCAUCUAACUUAUCUGAAAUCAUGCUUUCAAAACAAACAUUUAUAAUGGUUAAUUUUUAAUACUAUGAAAGAAUGCUAGCCCAACAAUACAUUCAUUAUCCAUUUUCCAAUUAUCUGAUUCAAGCAGUUCAACUAGACAGCAAAAAAAAAUUCUCCAAACAGCUCUAUCUCUAUCCUAAAGUGAAUUUAUAUAUCUCCAAACUCCAAUAACUUUCAAUCCUAACCUUGUCAUCUUUAGUUCAGCUAGAUAUCCAAAAAAACAAAAAAAUCAAUAAUCUCAUAUUGUCAAGAUGAUUUAUUUAUAUGGAUACCACAUAUACCUAAAAUAAAAAACAAAAAGUUAUGAUAUAUAAUAAUAUAUUGUAUGUCUACAUGUAAACUAGUAAUUAGGUUAAUACACAAUGGAACAUAUUUGCUAUGUUCUAAAUAGUCAAAACACAAACAAUGCAAAAAUUAGAACAAACGGUGUUAGUAAACGGACCGCACUAUCUUUAACUGAGCCAUCUUCGUCUAUCAUUAGCUGUGCAGUCUUGACAAAUGACCGGCUGACAACAGCAUCCAACAACUACAAGUUAAUCAGAAGAUAGUGUUACAAUGAAGGGCUUGGCAAAAGCACAAGAAUAACCAUAUUGCUGGAAAAUACUCAUAGAUUACAGUUUACCAUUUGGGUAAGAGGCAUAAAACGGUUGUACCACUCUGCAUCUUCUUUCAGUGCUGCUUUUAAAGAAUUUUGCAAAGUCUCAGCUAUCUGUAUAAGCCCAACAACAGCCACUGCUUCAACUCCAUCUAAUAGAGAACCUCUAGAGACACGAGUAAUAGCUGAUUUUACCUUUCAAGAGCAAUCCAACAACAAGAAUUAAUUUACCACAACUACUAAUCCAGCUAAUCAGUAAAAUGGAUACACUAACGAUAGGCAUAUGAGAUACCAUAUGACCUUGAUUUUUUUUUUUUGAAAAUUAACAAAAUUGAAUGCUCCAAACAUGGAUGCGAGUACACAUAACCAUAGUGGUAUCUGAGUGAACAACUAUGGUGAGUUUGCUUGCAUUUUCAUUUGCUUUGUGAGUUUGUUUUUAUAUACAGUAAGCUAUCAUUAAAGUCCAAAUUUGGAGGUUUACAGAAUCGCAUGUAGUCUUGUGUUGAACACACUGAUGGAUUGUUAUGCCAAUUUAAAUUUUAAAGUGGGCCUAGCAGACUAGAUUGUGACAAAAUUUGCUUUAAAAGGCCAGAACAAUCAAUUCAAAAAAUAGUGCACAUAAGACUGCUCGUGGAAGAUAAAACACCAUAGAAAGGUACGAUUGAGAAAGAGAUGAGAAGCCCCAAAGCUCCAGUGGCCAUAGCGAGUUUAAGAGCAAUAUGGAUCCUAUUCUGAUCUCAAUAUGAAUACUUACAUACGAAGGAACAAAGACAAUGGAAAGAUAACCACAAAGUAUUAGAGAAACACAAGUUAGUAAACACACUAUUGACAGAAUAAUUAUUCUCUUUCAAUUGUAGAAAGUAGAUUCAGAACUCUAAAGCAUACAUUAAAUGCUACAAUCCUAAAAAAAUGCUGUUAAUUUUCUUUCACUGGAAGUACUAUAAAGUUUGAACAUGUUUCAGUUGGAAUAUUAAUUUGCAUUGGCAAAGCAGAGUAGCCUCAAGUAUGAUUCUCAGUUCCAUGAUAUAAUGGUCUUUAUUCACUACCUAGACAAACUGGGAGCACAUAUUAAAUUAUUAAUUCCAAGAGAAAAUAAAUGGGUGUGUUAAAAAUGCAGCAAGCCUACUUCCUUGUCAUCAUUGAUAGACAAACUCAUCCCAAACUCCCGAAACACCUAAUGCUUAAACAACAAGAGAUUCUUACCAAAACUGUAUUUACUCUGGUGAAAUCCAGCCCAGCUCCAUAUUUAAUCAGCUCAACAGCAGCGGCGGUCUCCUCCAAGAGCCUCCUGCUUUCGUCGAAGCAUACAUCAACGGACGAAAGCUGUGCCUGCCUACCAAAACAUCAUCCAGAUCCCAAGGUGAACCAAGAACCUAAGUAAAGAGCCUCAGCACCCUAUCUAUCAUGGAAUCAUCCAAUAACCAAGGACGAAAGAAAACACAAAAAAAGUACCCAGCGUCUACCGACGAAUCUUCCAAGAACCGUUGGGCGAAACAGGUACCGCGGCAUCAUCCAACAACCAACGGCGAACAAAACAACAAAGAAAAGCACCUCAGCACCCCAUCAAAGAAUCAUCCAAGAACCGAAGGCCAACCGAUACCACAGAAUCAUCCAAGAACGAAAGGUGAACCAAGGAUACCAUAGAAUCAUCCAAGAACCAAAGGAGAACUAAGAAACAAAGAAAAGAAACCCCGUAUCCAACAACCGGAAGCGGACCAAGAAACAAAGAUUAACGGCAGAUGAUGACGAUGAUGAUGAAGAGGAGGAUGAGGGAGACCUUGGUCGCAUCUCGGCCGAGGGCCGUGCCGGCGAAGGAAGCGACAGCGUCGCAGAGCUUGUCCCAUUCCAGAAUUUUUAGGCUGUCAGAGAGGGCGGAGGCCUUGGACGAGCGGUCGACGGGGCCGAGAAGGGGGCGGGAAUGGGCGCAAGGGCGGCCGCGGAGGCGAGAGAGGCGACUUGCAGCAACCACAGAGGAAGAGGAGGUGGUGGAGCAGAUGGGGAUGGGGCUGCGAGUGAACGAGGCGACGAACAUCGGCUAUCGGCUCUCACUUUCUCUGUGAAGGUAGAACGUCAGUGGCCAGACGAGUGUAUAAAGAAGAUAGAGCAAUUUACCGGAAAAGCCUUCUUUAUUGGCUUUUUUACAUGUAUUUAAGGAAUAUUUGUUAAUGAAAAUAAAAUUAAGAAAGACAGAUUAUUUUUUUAUAAAUAAUUUAUAGUAAUAAUAGAUAAUAAUUAUAGAUUUAAUAAUCAUAUACUUAUUUAUAAAAUUAGAUCGAUUGACAUAUAUAAUUAUAACUAAGAUCAUGAAUUAUAUUAUGAAACUUUUAAAAAGUAUGAUAAUAUUUGAAAUAAAUAUCUUUAAAAAUCAAUUUGAUUUUAUAGAUCAAUCAUAAAAGUUAUUUAUUAUUAAGAUAAUUAAUAAACAUAUAUAUAUAUAUAAUGAUAGAUUUAUAUAUGAUCUUUAUCGAUUUAGAGAAAACCUAUAAUAAAGUUCCUAGAGAUUAUGAGUUUUAGAAAAUAAAUAUGUAUCCACUAAUAAUAUUGAUGUUUAUUAAGAAUAUAUAUGGCAAUUUAGAUAUUAAUAUUUAAAUUAUAGAAAAUAUGUCUAGUAAAUUUUCUAUUAGCAUAAGAUUACAUCAAAUAUAUACAUUAAGUUUUUUAUAUUUUUAUAUUGAUAAUGGAUAAAUUUAUUAGUUAUUUAUUAGAUAGAUGUUCCCGAUAUAUAUUGAGUUAUUUUUUAGAAACUAAAAGUUUUAUAUUAAGUAUGAUUAAAACUGAAUAUAUGAGAUAUAAUUUUAGUCAUAUUAGAUAUAGACAAAAAAAAUUAUAAUUAAGUUGGAUGGACAUAAUAGAAAUAUCAAAAAUUAAUUUCUCAAUAGUAAGAAUUAAUUAUUUCUUUAAGUAAAAGCUUUAAAUAUCAAGAAUUAAUUAUUCAAUAAGAUAGAAAGAUCAAAGAUAUUUUUUAUGAAGUAAAAACAUGAUAGUUAAAAUAGCAAAAGACAUCAAGAUUUUUUUGUGAUCAUCGAAUAUCUUUGAUAUCAAGAGAAAAUUUUAUAAGAUAAUUGUGAGACUAACAAUGCUUUAUAGAUUUGAAUAUUAGGUAAUUAAGGAAUAACAUACAAAAAAAAUUUAUAUUGUAUAGAUGAGACUAUUGGAAUUACUAAGAAAGAUUGAAAAAAAUUAUUCGUGAACAAGUAUCAUCACUCCGAUAGAUGAUAAAAUGAGUGAAUUAUUUAAGAUGAUAUAGAUAUAUACUUAGGAGACCUAUAGAUGUAAUUGCUAAAAGAGAUGAAAUAAUUAAUAUUAGUGAUACUACAACAAGUAGAGAAAGAUAUUAAAAAAUAUUUAAUAGAAAUUAUAAAUAAAAUUUUAAAUAUUUUAAAUUUAUUAAACAUAUGACUUUUUUUAGAUUUAAUAACGACAAAAGAUCCAUAUAAAAUCUUAAAUAUUUAAGACUUAAUAUUUUAUUAUUAUUGUUGUUUGUCCCUUAAAUAUUUAAGACUUAACAUAUGAAUAUUUUAUUAUUAAUGUUUUUUUCUUUUUCUAACAAAAUGUCCUCACCUUUUAUGUUAAAUAACUUUAGAACCAAGUUUUUUUGUUUCCUAUUGAACCGAUCUAGUUAGGCUCCAAUCAAAAUUUCUAAGCCCCUAACCCAGCUUUCCUCUUCUAUCUUCUCACCUAGUCUCCUUUACCACAUCUCAAUCUCCUCUAUCUUAUGCUCAUCCUCUGUCUACACCUCCUCCUCCUCCUCUUCUACCUAUACCUCCUCCUCUAAUGCCUUUCCUCCGUCUCCCCCCUCCUCAUUCUUCUCUUCCACAUCUGCCUCCUUCUGCUCUUCCACUUCCCGUCCUCACUCUCCUCCUCCUUCAUUUUUACCUUCUUAAUUUUCACCUCAUUUUCUACUAUCCCCUCAAAAUUUGAUAAUUAAUUAUUAUAUUUAAAAAAAUAGAUACCGAACAUCUUAGAAUCAUGUCAUAAUAAUGUCAUGAAAAUUUAGAUUAGUUUAGUAGAAGUUGACCAAGUUAUAUUUGAAAUUGAAUAAAGUUAUAAUUAUAGAACAUAUUAAAAAAUAUUUAAUUUUGAUAAUUAAUUAUCAUAAAACCCUUCAAAGAUAAAAAAAAUAUCUUAGAAUUAUGUAAUAGUAUUUUUGUGAAAGUUUAAAUUCUUUGAUUGAAAGUUGACACUUAUAUUUGAAAUUAAACUAAUUUACACUCAAUCUUAAUUUUUGAUAAUUAGUUAUCAUAAAAAUAUUUAAAAAAAUAAAUUAAUCAUCUUUAAAUCAUACUCUAAUAAUUCUAUAAAAGUUUAGAUUUGUUUAGUGGAAGUCGAUCAAUUUACACUCAUCUUAAAAUUAUGUCAGUUAUUUUUUGAAACCUUUAUGAGAACUAAUUAUACCCCCACCCCACACACACACGCACAUAUAUAUAGCCCAGGACUUCUAGAAGGCAAUUGACCGAAGGAUCCUUCCGCUGGAAGUCAAAGGUGAUUCAUCAAUCGUAUCAACCGAACAGGGAACCACUAGGCGAUGACCGAGCAACAGAUGACAAGCUUCAACAACGCGGUUCCGUAACCGAAGCUUGCUGCCUGUUUGAAGUCGGCGCCCUACUGCCGUGUAUUUCCAACCAAACUUGGUAAUUAGAUUCGAGUUAACGAGUAUCCAAUUGCUUUACCUUGUGAAGAAAACCAUUCAAAUACUUGUCCAAGAAGCAUGCAUGUCAGAUCCAGAUAAGCUACGGGAUAAAUUAUUUGACUAGCAGGGGACGUGGUUAGAGAAACUAUAAAUAUGGAACUGGAUCUUGAUGGAUUCGUAUAGCAAGUACCUGAGUUUUAAGCAUGAAGAGCCUCCUCGAGAAGAAGGAUUGCGAUCCCACCCCUCUCCCGGUCGUCUCCCUCAACCACGUCUCCUUCUUGUGCUCAUCCCUCCACGAGUCUGUCAGAUUCUACGAGGAAGUGCUUGGGUUCCAGCUGAUCCGACGGCCCUCGUCCUUCGAUUUCCAAGGGGCAUGGUGAGAAACCAACAGCUCGGUAUGCAACCCCCCCCCUGCAAGCAAACCAACUGACUCGCGUUUGAUGGAUGAUGCAGGUUCUACAAUUACGGAAUCGGCAUCCACUUGGUGCAGAGUCCGGAAGCAGUAUCGAAGCCAUCGGAGAUCAAUCCUAAAGCCAACCACAUAUCGUUCCAGGUGAGGGUUACAGGGUUUGCAUCCAUUGCGUUUGACGCUUCUUCGACUGAUGAUUUCUUGAAAUGGCAGUGUGCUGACAUGGGAAGAGUGAAGCAGAGGCUCGACCAGAUGGGAAUCAGCUACGUUACCGCAGUGGUCACGGAAGGUGGAAUUAGGGUCGAUCAGCUCUUCUUCCAUGAUCCUGAUAAUAACAUGAUCGAGAUAUGCGACUGCGAAAAGCUCCCCAUUGUGCCUCUGUCCUUUCCUUUCGCCCCUCUAAAGACACCGCAGUUCUGCACCGGAAGCAAUCGAAGUCUCAGAAGGCACCGCAGCGUUGCAAGCAUUGGUUGGAUAAGAGAGUGAUGGAUCAAUAGGAUAUUUAUGUCGUACGGUUGUGGUCCUUCACAUACAAAUAAACCAUCAACAGCUCUAUCUUUGCCUGUCGCUGUGCUCCUUCCUCUUCCACGGCGGGCUUCUCCUCGUCCUGUUGUCACUCAGAUACAUAAGAUUAAGUCUCAGGAUGAAUGUAAAUUGUUUCAACUAGUCUGCACCAACGAUGGGUUACCAGAAAUCUCUAAUUCAGAAUAUCUAUGUACAACUCCCUACAUAUGUUAGAUGCUUUAAGUCUCAGGAUGAAUGUAAAUCGUUUCAACUAGUUUGCACCAACGAUGGGUUACCAGAAAUCUCUAAUUCAGAAUAUCUAUGUACAACUCCCUAGAUCUAUGUUAGAUGCUUUACAAAUUGAGCAAAAACCUAAUGUGCCAUUUAAGAUUUAAAAGGGAAACCCAAACUCAGUCUUGCAGCGUUUUGUUGGGAUCGCCCGUUGCCCAUGGUUUGUAGGCGCCUUCAUAGCCACGGUUCUGCAAAAACCUAAGAGCGUUCAGUACAUUUUACAAGCUAAUCUACCAAGCAAUUUUGUGAAAUCGAGGAACUAGGAAGUGCAAUAUCGAAAAUCUAUGGUAUCAACUACAACUAACAAAAGAAGCAUUCCAUUUGAUCUAAGAUGACCACCAUUGCCAAGACACAAGCUCGUCAAACAAAACUCUGUUCAAUUUUGUCAAGCUGAGGAUAUUAAUGGAAACUGUAACAAUAAAGUCCAUGAUAAUCCUAAAGGGGUGUCAUUUAUAAGAUUGUAUAAAUGGAGACAAAACAGAACGAAAUGGGUAAAGGCAAGACAAAGGGGACCAGCGGGUGUGAUGCAUUCACAGCAGGAAGGAUGAUGCAGCUGCUGUGGGUGCUCGCUAACAGAUCUCUCAUUUGUCAGCGAGCUUCCUAAAAUGCCAGGUAUAGAACACCUGGGAUCAGUCAAACCUUUGAUGAUGACAUGCUAAAGAGGUCAGAAAUAAUAAUCAUGAGUGCUUCGGGAGAUAUUCACCUUAUAGGAAAUGCGGCAGAAACUCGGAAGACGAUGGAUCAAGGAGAUAGCCAGGCAUGAGGUGCGGUUGAAGGUAAAGAUGACAGCUUAGACAAGAGUCAACUGCUACAGUAGCAGGUUGUUGGAAGGUAUAAAUAACCCGGCAAGCAAUAAAUGGAGUACCAUGAUUAAUGGUGUGUUGCACUAUGUGGGUUUUUAAUAUAUCCAGUAAUGAGCCUUCAAACAGAUGGUGCAAAAAUGAUCAUUAUAGGGAGCAAUGAUAACUAUGGGGAAUAGGACAAGAGUGGUUAUUAUACCUAAAAGAGUGGUCAAUGCUUACAGCCCAAAUGAACAGAGAGAACUUCCAAUGUUUUGGCAUGAGUUGGCCAAAACAUUCUCAUCCUCACAUCUCGAGACAUCCCGUUCUCAUUGAAGAUAGUUUCAAUCAGACAACGGCUAAAGAGUUAACUGUUAUGGGUGUUAUAAGUCUUUAGCAUGGCACUACAACUCUAGAUUUAACAGCUACAGGUUUUACAUGAGAGAAGACAUAGCAAUCAACAGGUUUCCAUUUUCCAACCCAAAAGUAAUGAAAAAUUGAUGAAAUUAUGCAUUGGUGCCACACAUGACAAAGCAAACUUCAUUCAAAUUGAGGCCAUACUUUGUGAUGCUUAUCAGUAUUAUCUUAAUUAUCCCGAGCACAACUAACAGUAUUCCAUAUAGAGUAAUAGAAUAGCAAGAAGGACGCCUCCAUAGUUCUAUUGCAUGCAAAAUAAGAAUGUGUUCGUCAAAUAUAACAUUCAUCUUUUACUAUCUACAUUAUCUUAUAAGGAAAAAAAAGAUGUUUUAGCAGUCAACAAGGUUAACAAGUUAAUCUUGAAAUGUUUCUAGAUCUUUUAUCUGAUAUCAUACCUAAGGAUAUCAGAAAUGUCAGCUAACCCUAGCCGUACAAAUAUUGAUGGCCAGACAAUGUAGUCCCAAUAAUAACUUAUAAAAGGGGUGAGGAAUAGCAAAAAAGCAACACAUUACCUGUAACCAGAAGAAGAAACCACGCAAGAGAAGCAAACUCCUGUUGGGAUCAGCAGACUUGAUCUGACUCACAAGAUCUAAAUUGCAGAAACAAUGAUAAGAGAUUAUCUAUUCACACAACAAUUGUAUGACAAAUCUUACAACAGCACAAUCUGAAAUUACAAGCGAGACAUAAAACUAGCUUGUAUAGAAUAGUUUAGAUUUCUAUAUCUUGAACUGAAGUUCAUAAUCAAUCAAAAUGUAUGCAUGUCACAUAUCACAUCAUCAUGCAUAAGUAUAUUCAAGUGGGAAUUGUUAGGUGCAUUGUUAGACGGAUAGAGUUUUCCUGAGAGCAUUUGAUCAACUUACAGUACAUCUAGCAAUAUAGUUGGAAUAUAGUCAUGAACAGAUGCAGAGAUUGAGCAAGUGUAUCACCAUUCCAUUAAGUUAAAGAAGAAAGUAAUAGAAAAGUACCACAUAGGUAAUCAGAAGUCAAAAUACAUGCAGCUACCAUUGAAAAAAGAUAAAUAGGUAUCUAAAAGGAAUGGACAACAUAAGCUCUUGUCCUAUAUAGUUAUGUAUACAUCUUUUUCCUAUAUACAAUUCUUCAUGUGUUGUAGGCAACGAUGCUUUUCAAAGUUAAGAAGCUAACUUGAAAUACAGGUACACUAUGGAUUUAAAUGGAACAAAUGUAUGUCAAAGCCUGAGCUAUCCAUUGGAUUAGUUUGAAUUCUUCCACAGAAGAAUUCUCUUUACAGCAUGAUUUGUGCUACAUGUGAAUUGUGUGAAGGCUGUGGCAUAAGCUCCAAUUUUUUGCUCUAUGCAUAAUAUAUUCCAAAUCAUGUUACAAGCAAAGCAUUUUCAAAAGGACUUGAUGGCGGAUGCUUAUAGGUCCUUCCCUGAAAAGGUAUAGAGUUAGAUGCACUCAACAAGUUAAUUUGGACUAGUCAAGUUCUGAUUGAAAGAUGAGAUCAAGAUGAAGAUAUUCAUCCUAAAAAAAGGAUUCAUUGCUUAGGUGUGCAAAAUAAUUGAUUAAAUAAUUUCCAAAUCACAAAAGGGGGGAUAAAAUGUCAUAUAACUUGAACGUCAAGAACUCUUCCUACAGUCAAAUGUAAUAAAAAAUUAUUAUGUGGAAUUCAAUAUUAUAAACAAAGUAGUCAAUUAAUUAGUUCUUUCAUACAAUAAUCGAACAAAUUCCUCAUAUCAAAAUUGGUGAAACAAUGCACAAGAAUCAUGUCAAUGUGCAGUUUGGGGUGGGUCAUGUCUGUUCAGUCUUCUCUUACAUGUAGAGAUAUUCUGUUCUUUCAAUCAAAGCCCUGGCACCAACAUCCCAGCAGAACAACAUCAUGGCUCACCAUUAAAUAGCUCAUAUCAAAUUUCCUGCAGCAUGUGAGUAGUCUAAGGACAACUACAUAAUUAGAUGCAAAAAGGAGCUUGUUUAUUCUCUCUCUCUCUCUCUCUCUUCAAAAUAGUAGGCUACACACAAAUAGCACAUCGGAGAACACUGAACCCUUGACAUAUUGGCAAUAGAAUCUAGUAAAAUUAUAAAUGUCUCUGAUAAGUCUACAUACAUGAGAUUAUGUGUAUAAGCAUUACAGUAAGGCAGUAAGAUCAGCCCUAUAUAAUAUGUAGAUAGCAAAUGUCCAAUUUUAGACCACUUCACUCAGCAAUUAGUCAUCAAAGAACAUUUAAAUUCAAAUCCUCAUGUCACUUAUCUACAUGAGAUAACAUUAUGUGAAUCAACACAUACCAGGGUAGUGAUCAGGAGAUGAAUAACCCAAUUGGUUUGUUGUGUAAGGUCUGGAUUCAUCACCUAAGUCCUUCAUUUCUGGCAUAUAUAGACUUAUCAAAGACAUCAACCGUUCAUAUUCAACUUGGUCAAAUGGCAUUUCAAGGACACUCGUUAGCCUACUCUGGAAUGAAGAUGUUAAUGUAUGCUGCAGUGUUUCAACAGAAUAACCCACAUCUUCAGAUGCUUGCAGUCCCUAACAUGUAUGGCCAAACCAAAAGAUAAAAUAUCAGCAUUAAUGAAAUAAGGUAUUUUAAAUGAAAACAAUAUACAUGAUGAUAUAAAUGUCAGGGUUUCACUUUAUGGCUUCCAUGAAGGGCAGAUUGCAAACACAAGACAAUCUAAUUAAAGAUGGGAGACAAUUUAAUUAACAAAGGGAUACUCAAGAGUUGUUCAUGUAUUUUUUGGCAGUGAAAUAAUGAGUGUAAUUCACAUCUUUUUUCAGUUGUCUUGUCACCUGUGAAUGGUAGCACAUGAAGACCUCUGAGCUUCUGACACAUCUUAAGACGAGCUGUCAUUAGAACAAAGGCUAAGAGAAUUUGCUAAUAAUUGCACUGCUCAUUUUUUGGCAAUUAGUAUCCAAAGGUGUCCAUUAGCUGCCACUGUUGAUCCUUAAUGGUUAGAAAGGAAUAACAGGAUAUAUAAAUUGCCACUUUAUCCGAGGAAGCAUUCAUUAAUAGAACCAAAGAGACUGUGAGGGGCAAAUUUUCUUCUAGUGUUGCUGUUGAGGAAAAUGUUAUUAGAAGUGAUCUUAGAAACCUCGAAUUUCUCUCUUUACUAAGGUUUGAUCAAGAGUUUUAUGUAGUUUCUUCUUGCUUUGUUUAUUUUGAUUGAAGUGUGUUUUUAGUAGCUCGUCACCUUUACAUACCAGGUAAUGUCGUAUUCAUUAUGUUGCUACAUAAGGUAUUUGAAUGAAAAGAGUCUUCUUGCUUCUAAGGGUAAUUGCACAUAGUGAUUCUCCCCCAGCAUUGGUGGGAGCCCAGCGCACUUGGCAACCUAGUCAGCCUAGAACCCACUUGGCAAAAAUAAUAGAAGGUUUAAGAGAACCACCAUAUGGUUUUAUCUCCAUCUCACUAGAACAUACAUCACUUACUUUUCCUGAUUGUUCAAUUUAAGUAACCAAAACUUCUUUUUAAAAUUCUUCCCCUUUUCUUCCAUGCCAUAAAAUAAUCACAUUAGUAUCCCAUUCCUCUUCUUCUUGAACUUUUUCCUUUCUUUCCCUUCUUCCUAUGACACAUUGAUUUGAAGUAAAAACAUGUUGGAAUUAUUCACUCCUAUAGUAUAGUGGCAUAGCUCGAUUCAAGUAUCACAGGUACCCACAACAUUAAUGAUUUCUUGAAAUCAAGGUUCUGAAAAAGUUCGUUCAGCAUUGCUUUACAAGCUAGUUGCAGCUCCUGCCUGCUCAAAGACAUGUUCCAAAAAGAGCAAUAUGAUGGAGUCAAUAAAAAAUUUUGCAAGAAAAGUAAAAACAUGACAUAGCAAAUAACGGCAACUCAAGGAAGAACUAGAGGAUGAUAACCAACAUUACCUAGGCUAAAUUUGUUACACUUAUGUCAGUUCCACAGAAUGAAUACAUAUUAAUCAAACCUAAAAUUUUACUCUAUUGGAAGUGCUUGUUGUCAUUUUACAAAAAAAUGUUGCUGUAGUAAUGGCCACUAGGAUAAUGCAAAGAGGAAAAAGGUCACACAUAAGACAAGAUAUAACAUAUUUUCUCCAAACACUUAUUACACACCCUUUACGUAUAUGCACUCAUGCUUCAUUUUCUUGUCAGAUUUUCAUCUCUUGCUAAACACAUCUUCUUGCAAUGUAUUUCAAUGUGCCAAUUUUUUUCAUUUGCAGAGUACCAUAGACAAUGCACAACUGUGUUUUAGAUAUUUAUAUUCAUUUAAUCUACAGGUGGUGAGGGCGAGCCUCGGUACAACAGUAAGGUUGCUCUUGUAUGACCUGAGAGGCCAAGGUAUGAGUCACAGAAACAGCCUCCUUAAAUAUUUAUAGGUGAACCUACGUACAUUGACCCUCACCAAACCCCGCAUUGGCAGGAGCCUCGUGCACUUGGUACACCCCCUAAUCUAAGGGUGGUGUCCCAGGUAACUUCCCUGGUAGAGAAGUUCAUAUACAAUAUUUAGAAAAUGGCCAAAAAUAAGCAUAACAUAGUUAUUGUAUCCACAAAUUAUAUCAUUUGAAUAACAAAAUCCAUCAGUGUUAGAUUGUUACAGCUCUCUAGACCAUGAUCCAGUAAAUAUUAUUUAUUAUUUCUGCUAAAAGGCUAAGAGCAAAGUUAGAUUUAAAGAUACAUAAUCCAGAAUCAUAAUAAACCAAAAUAAAAACCCAUUCAGAUAUGAAAUUGUCAUAUGGCUUGUUCUAAAGCGAAAAAGGAGGGUACUGAAUAAAUAAUAGUAUUAGUCAGCUUAGACAAGGGCACUCACCAAUGAAGUAGAAGACUGAAGAGAACCAUGAUAUGAUUUUAUCUCCAUCUCACCAGGACAUACAUCACUUUCUUUUCCACAAAGUUUGAUUUCAGCCACCUUUAAUUCUUUGACUUCCUCCCAUUCCUUUUCUUCUCCCUCAUGUACGAUAUUCAUAUUAUUCUCCCCUUCCUUCUCUUCUUGAACUUCCUUCCCUUCACUUCCUUUCUUUUCUUCUCCCUCUGACAUAUCAUUUUGAACUGAAAGAAUUGUUGUAUCAUCACAUUCAAUAUCUAUAUGGUCAGGUAAUGCAGGUACCCAUGGCUUAAAUGCUCCUUCAUAACCAACGUUCUGCAAAAGAGUGAUAAAUAAUUUACAAGCUAGUUCCAGCUCCUGCAGAAAGACAUACUCCAAAAGCAAGCAAUUAUAGAAAUUUCAAUAAUAAAAAAUGCACAAAAUGAGCAACUCUAAAGAAGAGCUCAGUUUAGAAGAUAACCAUCAUAACCAAGACUAAAACAAAUUAAACUAUGGCCACUCGCACAUACUACAUACAAGUUUGCUAAAUACUGAAGCUGCUUGUUGUCAUUUUAUGAAGAAAUCUUGAUUUACUAUAAAUGGCUGCUAGAUAUAUGCAAAGAAGAAAAAGGUCACAAAGAACAUAUAUAUAGCAUAUUUGCACCAACACUUUGUUACACCCUUGUGUUCAUGCACUCAUGUUUCUUUUUCUUUUUUUUGCAAAGGGUAAGUGAUAAGACAGUAUUCGACCAUGCAGGACCUUGCUAUCAAUUGUCAAAGUCUUCACCAGCUGAGCGGAUUGACAUCCUCUUGUUACAUGAGGAACCCUCAGAAAUUUUUGGUGAGUAGGUCCAUUACACUCAUGUUUUAUAAAUUCUCUUGUUGGUUUUUAUCUCUUGCUUAUAACUUCUCUUGAUGGUUUUUAUCUCUUGCUAAAUAUGGCUUUCUGCUUCCUAGAUUCGUAUUCAAGUUGUGUUUGUUUCAUCCAUUUGCAUUUUUCCUAGAGAGAAUUUCACAUGCAACACAAUGGUAAAAGCAUGGUAUGCAAUUUCGAAUGGUACUGUCCGGUACGGGCGGUACAUACCGGUCCAACAGCAUACCGGUACGCGGACCGCCCGCUACCGGACGGAACGUGCUACAGUACUACAGUGUUACACUAUAGCAGCGCUAUAGUGUUACAGUAAGAGGAAGAAAUAUUUAAAAUCGUUCGGUAACAGUGAUACAGUGCUCCAACAGUCAAAUUGACCGUUGGAACCCUUUCUCAUAGUAUUUAAACCCCUUCUUCUCUCCUAUUUCACUCCAUUACAAUUUAAUACUCUCUUAAACUAUCUCAAACUCUUUUUUUCUCACAUUUGUGUUCUCCUAAACUCUACAAAACAACGAUUUGUGAAUUGAAUCGAGGUUAAUUUUGAAAUAUUAAGAGGAAAAACUUUCUAAUCAAGAGGUAUGUUUACAUAAGGACAAUUCGUAAUGGACUGAAAUACGAACCUUGUACAAGAUAUUCUUUAAAACCCGAAAAAGAUAUGUGAUACUAUUCUUACCUAAUUUACAUUGAUUUUGCUAAAUUUAUACUAUUACUAUAUUUAUUUCUAACUUAAAAACUCUAUCCUAACUUUCUUUUUAUUUUCAGGUAUUUUUGGAGGGUUUUACACCUAAAUUAGGUAUACCGCUCAGUACGUCCUGGCAUACCGCUCAGUACACGGUACCGUACCAUACCAAGCCAACCUCGAAACACCGGUACGGUACAAUAUUGCAUAAACAAGCUUAAAGUAGUUAUUGUAAGUGCAAAGUAUACCAUUAAACAAUCUACACUAUAAUUGUAUUAGAUUAUUGUGGUCUCUAAGUAUGUUCAGUUUGAUACAAUUUUUCACUUUUGUUAAGAGGCUAAGUCAAUCUUAUGCAGCCUAAUAAAUUUGCACACAAACCAAAACCAUGAUAAACUAUAGUGGAAACCCAUUCAUAUAUGAAUUUUUCAUCACCACUUAAUCUGAAGAAAAAUAGUUGCACGUGGUAUCAUAAAUUCCCCAACACAAAAAGAAUUAUCCAGUACAUAUCAUCAGUCACCAUAUUAAAUUCCCAUUAAAGUUCUAUACAGUCAUAAUGCCAACAGAAAAAGACCUGAACCAGAUACUUUAUGUUAACUUUCCAAGUGACAACUUUAACACAAUUUGUGUCACUUUGUGCAUACUUGUUCCAGUAUCUUCACAGUAUUCACAACCUCAUUUAGGCAUAUUAUACUCAACUUGCCUAGGAAAUCUCUUCUAGUUAAGCCUGGGAUUAUCCCUUGCUUGUGCCAUUUUAUAUUACAAAAGAAAAUAAAAGAAUCAUCACAUUCUUAAGAUUAUGCAGUUCUAGUUUCAGUAACCAUUAGUCAUGGAUCAAUAAAUUCUCUAGGCAAAGUUAUUUUUCAGUCACUUUUGUAUUUCCACUAUUGCUUAUGAACUCUAUUCUUAAAAACAUAGCUUGCAUGACUGCUCCAAUCUGUAUGGUCCUCUUCUUAUUCCUAUGAGCAAAUAAAUAUUUGCUUUACAUAUAAAAUUAUCUUCUUCACAACGAAUAUUCCUUAUUCGUCAUUGUUUAAUGAGAUACUACAGCUCUAAAAUUAACCGCUGCAGGUGUUUCCAAUGACAGAGCAAUCAACUGAGUUCUCAACGUAAAAUAUAAUGAUGAGAGGUUCACAAUUCAUCAGCACUAUAAUGUGAGAAAACAAACUUCACUCAAGGCUAUAGUUUUGUGAUGCCAACUAGUAAAAUCUUUUGAUCAUCCAGAGCAAAGAAAUAGAACUUGUGUCAAAGUAGUAUAAUCACAAGGGCUUGUUCGUAAUUCAAUUGAAUGCAAAAGAAGAAUGCAUUCGUCAUACAAAACAUGCAUCCUUUCAUUAUCCUCACCAUCUUUAUCAAUUAAAAUUACAAUAAGAAGUUCUGGUAAAUGAUCAGGACUGAUCAACCUAGCUCAAGCCCAAGUUCAGCCAGCCCAAAGACUCAAGCCUGAACUCAGAUUGAGUUGGACUCAAACUAAGAUUUGUACUAGGAGUCCCCUAUGUGGGAAUAAGAGUUGGACUCCAAUUGAGAGUACUUCUGUAGAUAGGUUAAGAGUCUUUCGUGCUACAAAUAUAAGUAAAAGGGGGGUCGCAGCCCUAGGGGAGGGAAAAGAGAGCAAGGUGACAACAAAAGAGAAGCCUAAGCCGAGCUUGCAUGCUCAAGAAGUUGGAGCUAUUGCUCAGGAAGUCCAAGCUUGUUGCUUAAAAAAUCUCUUUACAAUUGCAUGAUUAGGUAUUCCUUUCUCAAAAACAAUCUAGAUCCUUUUUCUUUUUUAGAUUUCUCUUUUUCCAGUGUCCCUAUCAAUGCGCAUCUCUAUCAAUACUCUCACAAAGCGUAAAUCCGCUCGGAAGGAUUCUAUCAACAAAUCCUUUCCCAAACGGAUCAAGUGGUACCAGAGUGAUGACCCUCACGCCUGUGGAUGGUUACCACCACACAAAGAUAUAAAAUUUCAAGUGAAGAACUUCAGGAAUUAGAGAUUUAACAUUGAUUGUCGAUGAAAAGAGAUGACGAAGCGAUGACAAAAAGUAAUCCAGCAGCAUCACUAGAUCUUUUUGCCUAAGUCGCAUCACGUAAAAGAUGGAGGACGAGAUGAGUUGGAUCCAACCCUAAGCCAACACGACAACAAAAGAAGCUAGAGAUAAGCGUGUCAUAGCAAAGGAGUCAUCUUCGUUGAAAACCAAAACUGUUCAUCAAAAGACACUAUGAUUGUGAUGCCACCAUGGAACCGGUGGCAAAGGCAAGAUUCAGACCUUUCCAAGCCAAGGCUGGGAUGUCAAGACUCCAUCAACGCAUAGAUGUUAGACGUGGGGCUCAAUCAACUUGACGUCUACUUUACCCUAUACGAGCAUCACAGCGAGGAUAAUGGAGCUUACGUGACUCAAGUUAACAAGCCAUGCUUUAGAAUGGUGGAUCGACUGCCUACGAGCCUACAACGAUGUUGAGAUGACAUGGGGCAAUUUAAAAGACUUAUCUAACAAGAGUUAUACCCAAAAGGCUACCUUAAAGAUCAAUGAAAAAGAUGGCAUGACAUAGCUUGUGCAAAGAACGAGACCAAUUGGUGUAAGACGACACCGAGUUUCCAUGACAAGCCAUGGCACUCGGAAACUCCCUCGAUAACCACUCAAAGAUGAUGAAGUUUAUCGCUGGUUUGCAUGCCUGGAUAAUACCGAAUUGAGCCUCUUCAAGGCUCACAACAUCUUGAGUGCCAACGAAACAUCCAUGACAUUUAGAAGGAAGAAUAGAAUCCACAACAAGAGGACUGCUGAGGACAAAAAGGGCUACUCAAAGGCCAAGAAAAAUUCUAGUAAGAAUCCUUCUUCUUCGAAUAAAAGUGACCUCUUCUAUGAUCACUGUAAAAUUGUUGGACAUAUAAUAGAGAAGUGCUAGAUCCCAAUCGAUAACGAUCCUAUUGAACUUGCAUUGAUUGAUUGUACGGAUCCCAGUCUAUCACUUUCAUCCAUUGGCCCAGAGGUUGUAAAAGAGCUCUUUAUGCCAAAAAUUCAAGUGAAGCAAGAAGUCAUCAACAUCAAUAGUUAAAAGAAUCUCAUCUCGACAAGCUCAGUCCAGAAACUUGGCCUACAAACCACACCUCAUCUGAACAAAUAUCCAUUGGGUUGGAUCCAAAAGGAUGUGUGGUUAAGGAUAAAUCAGCAGUGAAAAUUUUGCUUCACCAUCACCAACAAAUACAUAUUGUGAGAAGUAGUGCCCCAAGACAUAUGCUUGGUAAUCUUCGAAAGUAUGUACCUUUGGAACCGAGUUGUUGUCUACUACUGCUGACCCCAGCGAUACGAGUUCCUAAAGGACGGCAAUAGGUUCCUCAUAUGUGAGAAAAAGAGCGUAUGUGCAAUUGAUCUCAUGACAACCGACCAAGCAAAAUGGAUGGUGAACACAUGCUAAAGAUUCGUUUCGUGUUAAUACUCAUUCAACCGGUCGAAGCGAGAAUGUGAGCCUUAGCCUUAUCAGCUACAUGCAAGAAAGAGGAUGAUGGUAAGUUACAAGAACAUGCCACCAUCUUCACUGAACCGGAUCUCAAGUCAAGCUAUCAUUAAGUCUUGAGUCCGAGAAGAAGACAUGUGGAAGAUAGCCUUCAAGAUGCGUCAAGGGCUAUUCAAGUGCCUGGUCAUCCCAAUUGGACUUUGCAACGCCCCUACCAUGUUCAUGCGGUUGAUGGACAACGUGUUACGUCCACACAUCAAUGACUUUAUCAUCAUCUACCUCGAAGACAUUCUCAUCUACAACCAAUCAAGGGAAGAACAUAUUGAGUUUGUAUAAAAGGUGUUCCACAUUUUAGAGAAACACCAAUUGUGUCUUAACCCAAAGAAGUGCAAGUUCGGAAAACAAAUCCUCGUCUACCUCGCUUCGUCUUAAGCGAAGGGAAAAUCCAAGACAAUUUGAAUAAAUUUAAGACAAUCCGAGAAUGGUUGAAGUUGAGAACGAUCACAAAGGUUCGAAGCUUCAUGGGGCAUGCCAAUAUCUCCGUAAGUUCAUCCAAAACUUCAUCAUCCAUGUUGUACCAUUACAAUCCCUCACCAAGGCCUAUCAAAAGCUCGAGUGGUGUUUUGUCAAUCUAUUCUUCUUGUUGAAGAGGAAGAUUAGUGAGGCUCCAGUCCUAGCCUUAUUGAACCUACAAAGAUUCUUCAAGUUGGAGGCGACCACGUCUAGAUAUGCGAUGGGGGCCUUUUUUGUGCAAGAUAACCGACCCGAGACGUGCUAAUUUAAGAUGUUCCAAGGAUCUCACUUUGUGAUGUUCCAAGAAUAAGAACUACCAAAUGUACGAUAAAGAAUCACUCACACUACACAAAGCCAUCGAGUAUUGACACGUCUCUCGUUGGAAAGGAGAUGAUUGUCUACACCGAUCAUCAUCUAGUUCAAUACUUGCAAACAUAGUCCGAAUUGGAGCAAGAUCGACACAUGAAGCAGAUGUCAUACCUAUAGCAAUUUAACCUUGUAAUCAAAUAGAAUAAGGGAGUAUAAAACAAUCUAGUUGACAUGUUAUCGCAACCCCUUAUCACGAAUCGUUGCUUGUUUAUUCAAAUGUAGGUACAACCGAGUCUACAUGAUGAUUACAUGAGCAUGUACAAGAAAAACCCGAAGUUCAAGGCCUGAUUGAAGAGCUCAAGGCAAAAACAACAGAGUUCAUGUUUCGAGAAGGGCCCAUUGUCCAAGGGAACUCAAUUUUAUGUAUCGAAAGAGGUAGAUCAUGUGAACCGAAUGCGAGAGGCAAAUAUGUCCAGGUCGCAAGGCACUUUGGCAUGACGUUGCAAAACCUGUAAUAUUACGUUUGUUGGCCUCGGAUACAAUAGGAUGUGGCAUAGUUUAUGAGAGGAUUUGUGUUAUGCAACACCUCCAACCAGCCACCCACGAGACUGUGAGAGAGCAUUUCCAUGGACUUCUUGGGGGGUCUUCCUAACAUGUGGAAGGGUCAUGACUACCUCUUCGUGGCGGUCGAUAAGUUUUCAAAAAUAAUAGUGUUCAUUAAGAAAAUGAUUACCUAAGGAGUCAGCACAAUUAUUUUUCCAAUAUAUAUGAAUGUACUUCGAGCUUCCAAGCUCAAUCGUGUCCGCAAAGAUGAACAGUUCUUAAGCCAUGAUAGGCACUCGAUUGAAGACCAGCAAAAAUGAAUAGAGAUGUCCAGCUUUUGGAGAUCUCCUUGGGCCAUGAUGUGCACUUGAUUGACUAUAUUACACUCCUAGACGAAUGGACAAACCAAAAUAGUGAAUUGUACGAUAGUUCAUCUAAUAUAAUGAUACAACUCCCAACAUCCAAAAACAUGAGACAAAAACCUACCAUAUCCGCAAUUGGCAUUUAAUCGAGUGGCGCACAACUCCAUGACCAAGUCACUGUUUGAGGUAUGCACUUACAGCAAAGCCCUUUUGACUUGCAGUUUGUAGUUUACAACCAAUUCAAUAUCACAAAUCUCCAAAGAAGCAACAUAGCACUAUGAGUCUAAAAUUUCUUGAACACAUCCGACGAGUGUACAAGAAAGCCGAACAGCAGCUUCAGCAACUUCAAUGGGCUCAACAGAAAUACAAAGAGUACAUGACCCACACCACGUUGAGGGUUGGUUCCAAGAAUGUAACUCUAGACAGAGACACCAUUGCCGAAAAAAAAUGUUACUACCAUAAGAUAAGGCAUCAAAACAACUUUUGGAGUGGAUACAAAGGGAAAAUUCCUAGGUCAACAAGAUCAAGGAUUGACGUUCUGCCCGAAAUGGUACAGCAGAAGCAAUGCAUACCGGUUUGACAGAAGAUCGAGAUGUGAAACACCCUGUACUGAGCAGUAUAUAUAUGGGGUAGUCGUACCGGGCGAAAUAGUCAAAUUUGACAAUUAUCAACGUGUAUUGACUGAUAACAAUUGGAUUUCAAUCGAUAUGGAUCAAUGGCUAUGAUCCAUAUUGGUCCGACGAUCAAAUUACUCGUUCGACCACUUUCAAACCCCAUUUAAACCUCCUCCCUCUGCUCUUUCACCUUCUCUCACUCUCACAACUUAUAAACAACGUUUUCAAAAGCACUAUGUGCCAAAAGGCGCCAAGGUCCCAAAACGCCGGAGGCGCUCGCUCGAGUGAAGAGAGACAUUCCUGAAUAUUAAUUUUUUUAAAAUAUAUAAUAUAUUUUAAGUAGUGUUUUCAAAAGGGGGUGAAAUUUGAGGUGGGUGCUAACUACUAAGCAGUGUUUUUUAACCGCUAUUAUGUUCUAAGCAAUGUUUUCAUAUCAAUGUGAUGUUCUUACCUAGGUGAACUUAAAACUCCUAAGUUCUAACUCCUAACAAACUAAUAGUGCACCACCUCAAUAUGGUGCAGUAAGUUAAUCGAUGAAAGUAUUACCUAUAUUACCUAUAAAAUGACAACGAGAGGACUGAGAAGAUGGAGAAGUAACCAGUGGUUGUAGAGGAAGGUGAAAAUCAAUGGUGGACGAAGUUGGAAAGGGUGGCGGACAAAGCUACAACAGCGAAUGGAUGAAGUGCAGCAGUGAACGAAGCGGAUGAAGGCAGUGGACAAGGUUUCCGAUCAUGGCGGAUGAAGCAGAUGGAUUGCAACGACGGAUGGAGUAUAUGAAGGCAUAAUACGAGGUUGCUAACGAUGAGGAAUGAGGCGGACAAAGCGUACGAAGGCGACGGGCAAGCAGUAUUAUUUCACUUUUGGUUUCUUUCAUUGGGUCAGGUGCAUGGGGGGAGGGGUAUUACGGUAAUGACAUUAGUUGGUUCAAUUGAACUAGCUUACUUACCUAGUCGAACCCAAGCUUAAAGUCGGCUCGAUUUAGCUCGAGCACAUGGCUUGAACGGUGUUUCAUUGCAACGCCUCGCCACGAGGUGUUGCAAGGUGCUGGGCCUCUCCUCACCCAAGCGCCUUUUGAAAACACUACUUCUAAACUCUCUUUUUCACUCAAUCACUCUCUCUUUCUAACAUAUUCACUCUUUUUCUCAAUUAAAGCUGACCUUUGGUGAUUAGAGCUUCAUUGGGAGGAUUAACACAUCCUAACAAGUUAUUUAGAGGAGGAUCACUCUAAUUAGAAGGUAUGUAUUCUCUUACUACUUCUUAGUUAGAUUUUGGCAUGAUUAGCUCCAUUAUAUGUAGUUAACGAUGAUUAGGGUCAAUCACAUAUUUUUAAUGCCAAAUUAGGGGUAAUUAGAUGAAUAUAUCUUGUUUAUUGUGUGAUUAGUGACAUUAAUUUGCAUGAAGGUACUUUUAGUUAGCUUUUGACAUGAUUAGAUUAGCACCAUUAUAUCAAGUUAAUGAUGAUUAGGGUCAAUCUCUUACUUUUAGUGCCAAAUUAAGGGUAUUUGGACAUAAACACAGCUUAUUAUUUAUGUGAUUCGUGGCAUUAAUUAUAAUUUAGGCAUCAUUUGAGACAUUAUUAUACUUUUAAUUAGUUAUGGACAUGAUUAGCUCCUUAUUAGUUUCAUUAUAUUGUUAAUGAUCAUUAGGGUCAAUCACUUACUUUCAGUUCAAAUUUGGGGGUAAUUAGGACUAAAUGCAGCUUAUGAAUUGAAAGAUUAGUGAUCAUAAUUUGAAUUUAGGCAUAGUUAGGGUCAAUAAGCUUCCUUUUUAGUGCUAAUUUGCAGGUAAUUAGGCCUAAACGCACUUGUUACUUGUGUGAUUAGUGUCAUUUUAUCUAAUUUAGGAUUAUUUUGUCAACUAUGAUUAUUUAGAGCCCAAUUAUGAUUAUUUUGUCUAUUAUAAACCUUAUUUUGUUGAUUAUCAACCUAAUUUUUCCGAUUAGAGCCCAAUUAUGAUUGUUUUGUCAAUUACAAACCUAAUUGUCAAUUAAAACCCAAUUAUGAUUGUUUUGUAAUUAAAAACCUAAUUUGGGGUAAUUAGGUAUAAACACAUCUUCUAGACCCAAUUAGGGUCCUUACUUGAUUGAUAAUGCAUUAUCACAGCAUGUUAAUUUAUAAAUAUUUACAGGAAAAUGACACCAAAGGAACAGAUACAUGAUCCGGCUUGGGAUCAUACUUGCUGUUUGGACAACAAUCAUCAUCAUUGAUAGUAUAUUCAUUAUGAUUAUGUCGAUAGGAGCGGAGGAAUCAUUCAACUAAAGCAACAUUUAGUUGGCGGCCUGGCGGGUAUCUUAAUGCCGCAAAAUGCACCAAGGUUCCAAUGGAGGUCCAUAGAACAUUUCAAGAUAAGCUACUCCAAUUUGCUUCCAUUGGUUUCUUAAUUUGUUUAAAUCUUGAAGUUACGACAUGUAAUCUAAUAUAUCAAUUCUUCUUUGUAGAUGAUUAAAUAUCAAUAGAAGAACUAUUCGGAACAUGCCACGAAGUUGGUCCUCAACAUCCAAAAAGAUAAAUCUGGUAUCCCUUCUUUAUUUGGGCAUCCUCUUAUUGAAAUUAAAUUAAUUUUGCAUUAAGUUCUAAUUAAACAGGUAUAAUGUAGGUUUUUUUUAUUUUUCAAGCUUUUUUUGAGAAUUCACAAUGAUUUUUUGGAGCCAUCGGCAUGUACCAGCAUACUGACACACGAUACAUCAAUACCAAUUAAUGUAUACUAGUCCGAGCCUUGAUCGGCACGCUAGUCGACAUGAGACUAUAGUCCUUGAGCAAGAUAGUUCACAAAAGCCGAUGAAGAAGAGUUGUCUUCUCUUCAAUUCCAUAUUCAACGGGAGUUGAACAGCUAAAUUGGGGGACCCAUGAUCAGGGAUGAUCAACCUAGCUCAAGUCCAUGUUCGACUAACUCAAAGACUCAAGCCUGAGCUUAAGGAGUCCCCUACAUUGGACUAAGAGUUGAGGACUCCGAUUAAGAGUCCUUUUUUAGUUAUGUUUUCUCGAGUUAGGUUAGGAGUCUUCCGUGCUACACCUAUAAGUAAAAGGGGGUCAACUAUCAUAAGAGGAGGGAAAAGAGAGAGGUGGCAACAAGAGCAAAGGAACAGAUAGCCAAGUUUGCAUGCUCAAAAAAGUCCAGGCUUGUUGCUCAAGAAGUCUCUUUAUUACAUGAUUAGGUAUUCCUUUUUCAAGUCCGAACUUGUUGCUCAAGAAGUCUCUUUGCAAUUGCAUGAUUAGGUAAUCCUUCUUCUCUUUCAUAUUUCUCUUCUUCCAACAUCCCUAUCAAUCCUCAUAAAAAAUGUAAAUCUGCUCAGAGGAAGGAUUCGAUCACCGAAUCAUUUCCCCCAAACUAAUCAAUAAAUAUUGGGACAAAUAAGUAACAAAUAGAUGAAAAAUAAGAACAUGAGAAGUAUGAAAAUAGUCAUAGAAAUAAUUGAUGGGUAAUCAUAUUAUCUUGAGAUUGUGUGCGGUAUGGCCUUAGAGGAUGUAAAAGGCAAAAUGUAUCUCAUAGAUCCUUAAGGAUUCUAUUCCUUCUUUACCAAAGAUAAAACAAAGAGGACAAUAGGCAUAAGAUAAAAUGUCAACAACAACUUAAAAGAGGAGAGUGAGCAAGAACAUAAAAAGGGAACGAUACCUUUAACCAAAAGAAGAAGCCAUGGAGAAACAAACUUUUGUGGUGAUCAUCAAAUGCUGAUGAGAUGCGUCUGGCAAGAUCUAAAUCAGAGAAACAGUCAUUAGAACUCAGCCAUUCAUGCAGCAAUUGUAUGAAAAAUCAUACAACAGAACAGUCCGAAACUAUCUAAGACAUGGUAAUAGCUUACUUCAAACCGAUAAACUAGUUUCAACUUGUACAUCAAUGAAUGAUAGUUCAUCAAACAUCAAGAUGGCCCAUUCAUGUAACAGACCAUCUAAUCAUGCAGAAGUAUAAUUAAGCAGGUUGCAAGGUAUGGAUAUUUUGAUGUCCAGAGAGAUUCCAAGUUAUUUUUAAUAUGGGACUAUUGAGCCAGCGCUGUGUCCCUAGUAACAUCUUGUGGUUGUUUGGCCAUAAGACUAACUAUUAUGAGAUUAUAGGAUGAACAUAAGAUCGAGAAUUGGAUAACUGCUUCAACGGUUGGAUGUCUGUUAUCUGAAAAGACAGCAAGUGAACAGCAAAUAUCAGCGUGUGAAUCGACUUUAAUACUCACCAGGAUGACAAUCGAGAUAUGAACUUCCCAACUGGUUUGUCAUGUAAGGUUUGGAUCCAUUACGCAAUUCCUUGUAUUUCACUAUUGGAUUCCGAAUAUUAAUCAAAGACAUCAUAUUUUCAAAUUCUUUCUGAUCAAAUGGCUUCCUGAGGAUAUCCAUAAGCCUGUCCCUGAAUGAAGAUGACCUAUGCUGCAGUAAUUCGUCAAAGUAGCUAGCCUGCAAUCCGUCGUAUAUAAGAUAGCAUGGUAAAAAUAUGAUAUUACAGAGGUAGCGUCAGGAACUAAAUACAAAACACAAUCAAUUAGCAGUUAGCACUGACUAGACCAUGAGACUAACCGUGGAACUGGAGGUUUGAAGAGGAUCAUCGUACAGUUUCAUUUCCAUUUCCAUGGGGUGUACAGCUUCAUUUCCAAUUUCUUCUUCUUCUUCUUCUUCUUCUUCUUGCUCUUGAACUUCCUCCCCUCCAUUUCGUUCUUUCUCAUAUACGAUGGUCACAUUGUUCCCGUACUGGAGAAUCAUCGAGCGGCCGCACGCCUUGACGUGGUUCAAGAACACCUGGUAAUCCUCAUCGAUCAACGAGCCUCCAACGUCCCACCCGCUUUGGGAAAGAGGAGCACGCGGGCCAGAGGCCUCGCAAGGCUCCUGACCCAGGCCAUUGUUCUUGCGCCUCUUCUUGGCGUUACACGCUCGGCUAGAGGUGCUCAACCGACGCUUCCGGGGCUGCGACCGAACCGCGGUGACACAGGAGUCCUCGUCCUGUUCGUAUUUGAUUCGCCACCGCGAGCCUCCGAUGACCACCUCGAAAACGUAGGACUUGUCAUCGACGUUAAGGUGCUCCAGCAACAGCUUGUAUUGAGCAUCGGCCUCGUCUUGGCGGAUGCCAAGGCCGUCCGAUUCGCGGCUGAGGGGAUUCCGGCCGUAGUCGACGAUGGGACGAUUCUCCUCGGCGCCAGGCGCAAAGACUUGGAGAGGACGAGGAUCGUCGGAGGAGAGGAUUCCUUCGGAUCGAAGGCGGCGUUUUCUACUGCAAGUGACGAGCAAAGGGGAACCGACGCCGCGCGGAGGUGGCGACAUCUCGGCGCCGUGCAUGAUCGAUUUCUAGGGCAAUUAUUGUUUAAUAGUAGGAAUCCCAACGUAUGUCAAAAGACUGCAACACAAUAUUUGGACUUAAUGUCAUUAGAGGUCUUAAUUUGUUUAUCAUCAAUCAAACCAUACUUUACUAUUUUAGAUUUUUUUUUGAUAUCUUUGUGAAUUAUGUGUUAUUUUUAUUUUUGGGUAAAUUUUUCUUGUUUUCAUAGAAAUAUCAUGGAUCCAUGCAAUAUAUUUUGAUAUUUGAGCUUCUAUAUUGAUCUAAAACCUAAAAAUUUGGGUUAGAGAAAAUAAUUCAUAAUAUAUGAUACAUUAUUUUUUAUCUAAAUUUCAAAAAUAGUGCAAAAUACAUGACAUAUUUUCAAAAAUAUGUCACUUUGGCUUUUAUUUUAGAGAAUUUUUUGCAUUAGACCCCAAUGGACAUGUCACUAGUUUUCAUUUUAGAAAUUUUUUUUUAUAUUUUAUGAAUUAUUUAACAUUUUAAUUGUGCCAUUUUUUCAUUUUUGACAUUAGAUCCAUACAAUAUUCUUUUAGAGAAAAAUUAGAGUAUGAGAAAAUAUUUACUAAUAUGUGGUGCAUUAUUUUUGCUCAUAAUAAAAAAAAUAAUACAUUGGUUUUUUAUUUUAAAAUUUUAUUGAUCUUUUUAUGAAUUAUUCAACUUUUGGAUUUUGUGUCAUUUUCUAUUUUUGGCUAAUUUUUUCCUAUUUAAACAAUAUUAUCAUGGAUCCAAUCAAUGUUUUUAUACGUUUGAGCUUAUAAAUUGAUCCACUUAUAAAAAUUUAAGCUUGAGAAAAUAUUUCUUAAUUUGCGAUGCAUUGUACUCAAAAUCAAAAAAUAGUGUAUCGUAUAAAAGGACUAAUCCAAUAGACAUGAAAAUUUUAUGAAAUGCUUAAAUUAAACACAAGCGAAAAUAUGUUACUAGUUUUUAUUUUAUAGAAUUUUUUAAAAUAAUUUUAUAAAAUAUUCAGAUUGUGAACUCUGUGUUGUUUUUCAUUUUUGGCUAAUUUUUUUCAUUUUUCACAAAAAUAUCAUAGAUUUAUGUAAUAUUCUUUUAACAUUUGACCUUCUAAAUUGGUCUAGAAUAUCUGGCAAAAAUUUGGGCCAGAGAUAAUAUUUGCUAAUAUGCAAUAUACUAUUUUUAUCCAAAAUUUAAAAGAUGCAUCACAUGAAAGAACUGAUUCAAUAGACUUAAAAAUUUUAUGAAAUACUUAAAUUGGACCCAGAUGCAUAUAUGUUAUUGGUUUUCUAUUUUAGUGAUUUAAAAAAAUAUAUUUUAUGAUUUUUUUAGCUUAUGAACUAUGUGUUAUUUUUUUAUUUUUGGUCAUUUUUUUAUUUUUACACAUAUAUAAUGGAUCCAUCCAAUGUUUUUGAUAUUUGAGCUUCAUAAAAAUUUAGACUAGAGAAUAUAUUUCCUUAUACGUAAUGCAUUGUUGGGCAAAAAUAGUGCAUCCAAUAGAAAAAUUGUUCCAAUAGACCUAAAAAUUUAGGAAAGAUUUAAAUUUGACCUAAAUGGAUAUAUGUCAUUGGUGUUUUUAUUGUACAAAGACAUUAUUCAGGUUUAUAAAAUAAUAUAUAUAUAUAUAUAAUAAAAUAAUUUUAAUAUUAUUCAAAUAUCAUACCUAACCAACAAACGGAUUAUUGUAUGAAUAAUUAUCAUCUUCAACAAAAGGAAUUGAUAUGUUUAAUAACAUACUAUCACCUUUAAACUUCUAUUGUAAUCUUUCUUUAGCUAAUUCAUUUUUAAAGACAUCAUCAUUAUUAUCAUCUUCAUCACAAUAAGAUGAGUUAUUCAUGUCUAUAAAAAGAGUCUCAAAACCUGAGUUAUUUAGUAAAUAAAUAAUAUAUAUAUAUAUAUAUAUAUACACACACACACGACAUUCCGCUCUCAUAUUAAAGUAUCUUAGGAUCCGGUCCACACAGCGGAUCACGCAACGCCGGGUGCACCAACCGUUCCUUUUCCCGCCUUAAGCUCCGAACGUCGUCCAAUGACAGGGAACAGGAAUUCCCCUCCGAACGGGGCCAUGGCUCCCAACCGCUAUGAUUGAUUUCGUGAUCAGCGGUAGACGGCACCGAUGAUACCUGUUCCCUAACUCGCUUCAACACGAGAGUUCCACCCACGUGUACUUCUAACCACGCCGCCCCUCGGCCGAACGCGCUUCUCGCGCCCACCCCUCUCCGAUGGCUCCGGCCUCCAAUCUCAAGCAGUCCUCCAUGGACUCCUUCCUUCAUCACCACCACCACCACCACAGACCAAACCCCACCGCCAUCUCAAAGCCCGAAACUCCUGCCGCUGAAGCCGCUUCGGAUUACGAGCGAAUCCGCCGGGAGACCAUUCGCCGGAACCAAGAGUUUCUCCAAAAGCUCGGCAUCGCCUCCGCCACCGCCAUAGCUCACAAGAACCAACACACCUCCUCCAAGCGCCGCCCCAGGCCCCCUCCCGCCUCGUCCUUCCCCCUCCGCCGUAGCUCCCGCAACAAACGCCCGCCCCACGACGCUCCGGCCACAUCGGAGGACCCCGCACCGGAACUCCCUGACCCCGGCCUCAUCGACUCCUCCGUCUUCCAGUACGUCUGCGAUGAUGAAGAAGCUCCCCUCCGGCCUGGCGCCCAUCUUGCCGAGUCUCCAUCGUGGUCUUCCACGAUCGUGGGAUUUAGGGUUUCCGGUAAGGCAUUCCGCGAUCCUUCUCUGGCCAGGAUUUACUCCAUUGACGUGUGCUCCUCGAAGAAAGAUCGGUUCUUGGUUGCCGCCGGUGGCCACAGAGGCUUCAUAUCUGUUUAUGGAGGGGAAUGGGGUGAUUGCGAAAAUAUUAACUCCGAUGGGGAGAUGAUGGAUGGGCCUCUUAUGAGCUGGAAGGGAAGCCCGAGCUGGGUCUCGGGCGUAAAGUUUGUGGAGGAUAACCCGAUGCUGCUGGUGUCGAGUUCGAAUGAUGGUGCUAUUGUUGUUUGGGAUCUCAAGAAGCAGCCAUCUUCUUUGUCAUCCUGGUCGCCGCCUGUGGUUGCCAAAUCGACGGAACUGCACACCGGUGGGGUUUACUCCAUGGACCGGUUCAGUUGCUGGAUAGCCACGGCAUCAAAGGACUCCUCUGUUGGUGUUUCGAGGCUGACGCCGGCAGGGGAGCUGGUGGCAGAGCGGAACAUUACCGGCCACCAUUCAGGAGUCAUCAGGGGCGUUUGUUUUGGGUAACCCUUCUAUUACUUAACUCUUUGAUGCACAAUAGUCAUCAUUCUUCAAUUUAAGAUAUGUCUGGUUUUCGUUGGUGAAUUGGUUUCCAUGCCACCUUCUCUGAAGGAGAUUUCCGGUCUUAAUUCAUGAUUUAGAUAUUUAAAUCUUAGAAUUAGUUUUUUUUUCCUGAUAGUAUGAAAGUGAACUCUUGAAAUCCUGAUUCUUUAUUUACAAUUUGUGGUAGAAAAUAUAGAUCGAUAAUGUGUUUAUCAUAAGUAUCGCAUAUCAUCAACUCAAUCGGUUCAUUAAAGAAAAAUAAACUAGUUAUCAACUUGUUAUGAUCUAUGAGGCGGCUCCCGAAACCCAAAACUUGCAUUACAAAAAGAGGAUGCUCUCACAAAUUCAAAUGUAGAGGAUACUAUCUUAUGUUGUAGCACUGUUAUUUUCGAAGACCGACUCUUAAAUUUUCUUGUCUUUUCUUUCUGAGUCAAUGACACUCAUCUUCAAAUUCACUCCUUAAUUGCAUAGAAGGGGAUAACGGAAUAAGCAAUGGAUGAAUAAUGUGUGUAGCAGUCAAGGUGGGUUGUAGCGUAUUCUACAUGACAUUUCUGAAAGCCGGUAGCUGAUGAGUUUCCAGCUCAACUGUUGUAAUCUUGCUAUUGUUCAUGAACUUGGAAUUCACUCAAUAGCAUCAAGGUUCUUGUGUAGUUCUACAAGGACAUACCAAGUGACUUGUCAAUAGAAGACAACGACCUCUUGGUUCAUAACGUCGCCGACUUAUAUACCAAACUGGUCAUCUUUUAAUGACUGGAACUUUCUUGAGGAUGAAGUUUGCUGCUAGUGACUGGCGAAAUUUACGGAGGAAUGGUUUAUAGAACAUGCAAAUAUAGAAGCAAUGUUCUGUUGACCCAUCUUGUGCACAUGUAUUUCUGAAUUUAACUAUGCAUUGAGUGUAGCUGCAAACAAACUUUAAAUUGAGAGUCGGAAUAAUCUAAAUAGAAUAUCAUAACAAUAUUUUCAACUCUAGAGCAUUAUAAUUUUCAACACAAUGAUUUGCUUUACGAAAAUGAAUUGCCAUGUAUUUUUCAGUGCUUCAGAGUACCGAUAUGUUGUUCCUGAAUAUUUUUGCAGGGAUGGAAAAGAACGACUUGCCGACUGUGGAGUCGAUGGACGUAUAUGUGUCCUCGAUCCAAGGUCGCCGGAGCCUUGUGCUCUUACCAUCAAAUCACUGCACUCUACUGGUGUCAACACGGUUGAAUGGAACAAAUGGAACAAUUUCCUGAUCCUAUCAGCCGGUAGUGACCCGAUAUUGCAUCUCUACGACAUCAGAAACGCUGCUGGACCAGUUCACAGCCAACUUCAAGGUCAUGUAGAAUCCAACACUGGAACUUGUUACCGUAUAUAUAGACCUUGUUUUGUAGGUGGGAAGACAAUCGCUACACCUGGACAGGGGACGAGGAAGAUAUCACUGUUUGAUGUUGAAAAAGCAACGUUGAUCAGCCAGGGGAUACUGGGAACCGAUGCGAAUUUGAUUAUGUUUAAAGAUGACCAACAACAUCCAAGACUCUGGUCUGCUGCAAAACAAAUUAACCAAUUAUGCCCAUUGGCCCAGACUUGACUCCCCGGAAAUCUUGUCAUCUUCAUACUGGUGGCAUGCAUGUACCAGAUCUUUUGUGUUAAUAUAGAGUUUGCGCCAGGGUCAUUAAUCUUUUGUGAUUUCAACAACUCUUAUGGUAAGUUCGGUGCAAACAUGGGAAUAUACAGGUUCUGCACUUGCUCCUCAUGUUGUUCUCUGGCAAAUGUUUCGUUAUUGUAAGCGGUUGGAUUUAUAUAUCAAGGAGUAAAAGCUUAAUAGUUGCAUAACAAAGGCACAAUUGAGAUGUUUCAGCUGCAUGUUCAUAGGCCAAUUAACGAGGAACAAUAUCUCAAUUAUAACGAGAGUGCCGCGCGGGAGAGAAGCAAGCUUCUUAUAGGAGCGGGCAAGUGAGGCGCGGAGUUGGGACAGCCAUCAGCCUUACUGCUUUGGGCGCAGUGAGCCCAAACACAUCGCCCAUGUCCAAGUCACCGGGCUUCGUUCCGGCAGGCAGGCUCCAGUCGAAGCAAUGCAGCAGCUGUGCCACCGCCAGCUCCAGCACGUAGAGCCCCAGCUGCAUGCCCGGGCAGGACCGCCGCCCCGACCCGAACGGCAGAAGCUCGAAGCAGCUCCCUCGGAAGUCGAACGCCGCGGCGUCGCCUCCCAGGGCGAACCGUGACGGCCGGAACGCGUUGGGGCUCUUCCACGCGUCCCGGUCCCGGCCGAUGCCCCACGCGUUGACGAACACCCUUGUCCCGACGGGGAUGAAGUACCCGGCGAGCUCGCAGUCCUGAGUAGCCUGGUGUUGGAGGAGGGGGAGGGGAGGGUGGAGACGGAGCAUCUCCUUCACGGCACACUUGAGGUAGGGGAGCUUGUCAAGGUCACUGUCGUCCACUUUCCGGUGGAGGCCGACGACGCUCGCCAGUUCCUGUUGCGUUCGUUUCAGCUCUUCGGGGCUCUUGAGUAGCUCCGCCAUGGCCCACUCUAUGCCCAACGCCACCGUCUCCGUCCCACCAAACAUCACAUCCUGUGUGUGUGUCACGUACAGAUUGCAAUCCUCAUAUGAAUGCAUAUAGAAGCAGUACGACCUUAGUAUAAUCCUCAGAUGCUUUGUAUGUGUGCAACAAAAAUGAUAUCCGUGCAAAAAAUAUAUGCGAACACAACGAUACUAUUUCAAUUUCAUGUAAUUUGAAGGGAAUUCGACUAUUUUAUCGUUCUUUGUCGUUUAAAACGCUGCGAGGAAGAAAGAAAAAAGAUACGUAGGCAUGCAGCCAUAUAUGCCAACGAAGGCCACGUUAGAGUGCGACCUCCAACAGUUUAUAUUUCCAUGUGUUUGGACGUAUAGAUCAAUACUGACGAGGGUAAUAAUAGCGACAUGACGCGCCACGACGUCAGUCAUGGCUGGACGACACUCUGCCCGAAAGAGGGCAAUAAUGCCGACACGAUGGGCGCUGAUGUCACCCGCUCUCAGAUGAAGACUUCAUCGUUGCCUGACCCAACGCGCUUGACCGAGGCAGAGAAGAACGACCACCGAGGCACGCCCAUACCCUACGGCAGCUCGGUUCUCCACGCAACGACAAGGGCGAUNNNNNNNNNNNNNNNNNNNNAUCAGACGCCAUCAGAGGUACGAUCUUGUCUCCUGCAGGCAGGCACAUCAGGUAAUACUAAACUGCCCUAUAAAUACCCCCGAGUUCUAAACGAGGAGGGGGGGACACUUCUUCACUAGAAAACUCCCUCCACAUCAUCUAACUUAAUCGUCGGAGGGGUCGAACCGAGCUUCCGACCCGACCUGUGUGCAGGUACAAGGGCGGGGUUGCAUCUUCCCGGUGCUACGGAAAAGCUUCACUCCACAUGCAACGUCCCGCCCGGACCAUCGCAACCGGCCACCCCGGCUGUCCCGAGGAACGCCGCGCAAGAUCCCCGCACAUUCGGACCCAACCAAGCCGCGUCGGCCCCAAGGCCAUGACAUAAAGUUGUUUACCCCAACAUUUUGGCGCUAGAAGGAGGGCCCCGAAUGUCGAGCGAUCAGUAGAUCCACUCUGGCGAACCCGCAGCCAUGGGGUCACGUCCGAUCAACACCCUAGAAGAACAUCCCAUGCGUGAUGAACCCCGAGACGAACGCCCUGCCACGACAUCGGAGCGCUACUGGCGGUUGUUCAACGACCCGGGUUUGUCGCCACCCGACGACCCCGUCGGCCCGUCGCCUGUAUCGCCCGAAGCCUUCCACGACCUCACUCAUCAAGUCCGAGCACUGGCGGGCGUGGUACAAACUAUCAUCCCGCUCGUCUCCCAACCGACGACCCCGCAUAUAACCCAGCCUCUGCAGCAGCGGGAGCCCCCCACCCAGACUCAUGCACCACUUCCCGAGCUCCCUGCUUCACCUCGGAACCGAACAGCCCAGCCCGGGAACCGAGAGGCGGAAGACACGUCGAGUCGCCCAGAGCUUGAGGCGCUAUCCGCGGACUCGACGAACGCCCUGCGAGCCCAGUUGCGCCUCGUUAGUCGACGCCUCGACGAAGUACAGCAGGAGGUUCGCAGGUCAAAAGGAGAGCUCGGAGCGGACGGACACCAAGGGUCCCCGUUCGCGCCCGAAAUACAAGAUCAAGUGAUUCCAUCGCAUUUCCGACUCCCUUCGCUGGACGCCUACGACGGCACCGCUGACCCAGCGAAUCAUGUAGCCACUUUUCGCGCCCAGAUGGCGCUAUAUGGGACUUCUGACGCCUUGAUGUGCAGAGCGUUCCCAACAACUUUGUGGGGUCCAGCCCGCGCGUGGUACAGUGGCCUGAAGACCGGGACCAUCGCUUCCUUCGAUCGGCUCGCCAAGAACUUCGAGCUCCACUUUGUGGCCUAUGUACGGCCGAAGCCUUCCGCGGCACCACUCCUCGGACUCAAACAAGGGGAGGAUGAGCCCCUCUCCCAUUUUGUGGAUUGCUUUGCCACGCAAAUCCGGGGCCUGCCGGACACUCACUCCUCUCUAUUAGUGCAGGCGUUCAUGAUCGGCCUGCGACCUUCCAGAUUCCUCUGUUCACUCGCGGAGCAACCUCCCACGACGGUGCCAGAGAUGCUCCAGCGCGCUAACCGGCACAUCGCGGCGGAAGCCUGGGCGGCCAUGAGGAGAAGCAACGGCCCCCGACCGCGGGCUCCGUAACAGAGUUAGAGCACCCGCGGUGGCUACCCCAUGUAGUCUUCAUGAAAAGAAAUCCAAGCCCUGCCUCAGCCCUUUUCGAGCCAAGGUCCAGUAUCUACCUGACCCCCUCUCGGCUCGUGGCUUAAAAUCUUCUUAAUCUACACGGCUCGGCCAUGGACAGCCGAGCCCCCCUCAGGGCGGCUUGCCCACCUGAGUUGCAUCCCUUGGCCGCAGCCCGCCUGCGCCGAGCUCCUCGGCCACAGACUGCCGAGCAAACCUCAGGACGGCUUGCCCACNNNNNNNNNNNNNNNNNNNNNNNNNNNNNNNNNNNNNNNNNNNNNNNNNNNNNNNNNNNNNNNNNNNNNNNNNNNNNNNNNNNNNNNNNNNNNNNNNNNNNNNNNNNNNNNNNNNNNNNNNNNNNNNNNNNNNNNNNNNNNNNNNNNNNNNNNNNNNNNNNNNNNNNNNNNNNNNNNNNNNNNNNNNNNNNNNNNNNNNNNNNNNNNNNNNNNNNNNNNNNNNNNNNNNNNNNNNNNNNNNNNNNNNNNNNNNNNNNNNNNNNNNNNNNNNNNNNNNNNNNNNNNNNNNNNNNNNNNNNNNNNNNNNNNNNNNNNNNNNNNNNNNNNNNNNNNNNNNNNNNNNNNNNNNNNNNNNNNNNNNNNNNNNNNNNNNNNNNNNNNNNNNNNNNNNNNNNNNNNNNNNNNNNNNNNNNNNNNNNNNNNNNNNNNNNNNNNNNNNNNNNNNNNNNNNNNNNNGUCAGACGCCAUCAGAGGUACGAUCCUGUCUCGUGCAGGCAGGCACAUCAGGUAAUACUAAACUGCCCUAUAAAUACCCCCGAGUUCUAAACGAGGAGGGGGGGACACUUCUUCACUAAAAAACUCCCUCCACAUCAUCUAACUUGAUCGUCGGAGGGGUCGAGCCGAGCUUCCGACCCGACCUGUGUGCAGGUACAAGGGCGGGGUUGCAUCUUCCCGGCACUGCGGAAAAGCUUCACUCCACACGCAACGUCCCGCCUGGACCAUCGCAACUGGCCACCCCGGCUAUCCCCGCGCAUUCCGACCCAAACCAAGCCACGUCGGUCCCGAGACCACGGCAUAAAGUUGUUUACCCCAACAAAUACAACAAUUUCAAUGACUUUUUCAAGCUGGCUUUGUUGCCUGCUUGCAUAAGAUAAUGCCAACAUCCAGCCGAAGAGGAUGUCUCCAUCUCUGAAGACGACAUGUAAGACAUGAUUGCGACUGACAUGCCACAGAAUUACUCAAACUAAAAUCUGAUCUCUGAGUUCAAACGUGUAUUCGUCUACAUAUAUAUCCUCAAUCUAUGUUGAGAUUCUAAUACUAGCAAAGGCAUUAUAAUUGACGGCAGAGCUGUCAGAGAGAGAGAGAGAGAGAGAGAGAGAGAGAGGUACCAUUAUUAUCGCCUUGAUGUUAGAUCUUGUGAGGCUUAGAUCACCAUGGAGAUCGCCACCCUCGUUAGUGUCACCAGAAUCCCCAAGAAAUGCAAGCAUGCCGUCAACCAUGUCGGCGUCCUGCGCAUCCGCCUCCUUCGGGUUGGCCAAAUGGUCGUCGAUGAUCACGUCGAUGUAGCGAUCGAUCGCUUGCCUUGCCACUUUCAGCCUCUUGUCGAUGCCCUGCAAGUCCAUCCACCGCAGCCAUGGGAGGAAGUCGCUGAUGUUGAACUCCCCAAAAAGCUUCGAGUACUCCUGCAGUAUGCCGGCGAACUCGCCCUGGUUCCCGUGACUCUGCGCCCCGAAAGCUGCCAUGAAGGUGACGUUCUUGGCGAGGGUGAAGGCCAGAUCGCCGACAUCGACGGACGACCCGCUCCGUCUAGCGGCGAAGCGGACGGCAGAGUCGACCUCCUGGCGGACCGACGCCCACGACUGGAGGCGCCUGCGGCUGAAGAGCUUCAUGACGCAGAGCUUGCGCGUCUGGCGCCAGAAGGGACCGUAGUUGGCGAAGGCCAUGUCGGCACGGUCGUAGGUGAGGUACGCGAUGGCGGCGGUGACGGGGCGGUUGCAGAACGACGCGUCCUGCACCUGCAGCACCAGCCGGGCCAUCUCCGGCGUGGACACGACGACGGCGUGAAGGGAGCCGAGGCGGAGGUGGAAGAGGCCGCCGUAUCUCUCGGCAAGCCUCGCGAGGCCGCGGUGAGUCAGCUGGUCCAUCAUGAGCAUGUUGCCGAUAAUCGGUAGCGGCUGCGGCCCUGGCGGCAGCAGAAGCUUUCGUCCGCUUCUCAUGCAGAAGAACGAUAAGAGAGCGAGUGGGAUGAAAACGGAAGCAACCAUGAACGAGAGUUGGUGAAACCAAUCCAUGGCUCCUCUUCUAGCUGAGGACACCGAAGACCGACAGACAGCGGUGUCGGCAGGACCCGGAGUGGCCGGAGGGCGCUCCUUAUAGUGACCCAAAGGGGGGGCCGUCCAGCUGAUAUGAUCGAGUCAUAUUCUUUUUAUAUUUAUUUUUUCUGGGAAAACCUGAACGAUCGAGAUUAAAAGGUAACUAGAAUGAACGGCUCUCGUAUAAGGGUGAUCAGAUUUUUGUUCACUACAAGUAUAUAUACGUUAAGUAAUUUCGAAAACGCACAGUUAUAUAUAUAUAUAUAUAUAUAUAUAUAUAUAUAUAUAUNNNNNNNNNNNNNNNNNNNNNNNNNNNNNNNNNNNNNNNNNNNNNNNNNNNNNNNNNNNNNNNNNNNNNNNNNNNNNNNNNNNNNNNNNNNNNNNNNNNNGUAUAUAUAUAUAUAUACAUAUACAUAUAUAUAUAUAUACAUAUAUAUAUAUAUGUAUAUAUAUGUAUAUAUGUAUAUAUAUGUAUAUAUAUAUACAUAUAUACAUAUAUACAUAUAUACAUAUAUAUAUAUAUAUAAUAUACUAAAAUGCCCUAACUAACUCAUUAUUAUUUUACAUUCCAAAGAGUUGAUCGUCUUUGAUAUGUAAAAUAAUAAAAUUAACAAGGAAACCUCCAAAAAGAAUAAAUAAUAAAAGCUGAGAGAAUUUAUCACUUGGAAAUAAAAAAGCUACAUGAUAUGCGAAUCUCAUACCACCAUAACAUAAGAUUUUUCCAUUAAUCAGAUGUGACAGUGUCCAUAAUAAUAUUUUUAUUUUGAUUUCAUAUCUUUGUUACCUUAAUUUUAUUAACAAAGAACUGAUUUGUUUUUUUUUUUUUAAGCACAAAACGAACAACUUUGUUAGAAUCAUCCUUUGAUUCGAUGUGAGACGGUGAACACCAUCACAUCGGCGGGAGACAAGUAUGCUCUCUACACGUGCAGUAUUUGCGUGGUGGGUGGGACCCAUGAAAUAUUUCAAUUGUUGAGUCCCAUUUCAAUCAUUUUACUCCCUAUUGAUCGGUAACCCUGUCUAAUGUUUCUCUAUCCAUUGUCAUCCUAUCCUAGUAUUUUGAUCCUUAUACUUUCAAAAAUUACAUUGAUAUAUUAUAUUAAUCAUGUUGAUUCAAUAAAAUUCUUUUAUUUCUAACCCAAUAUAAGGAUCUCAAUAAUUUACUUUUGUAGAUAUAGAAACCCUAAUAUAAUUCUUAUAAGAAUAUAGAUCGAGAAGCUAAAGAUA